CUUGAGACACGGCACUGACAACCUUCCUGGAACUCUGGGCUCUGGGAAGACCACUGCUCUUGCUACUGUGGCUGGAUAUCUUCGGCAACUUUGGAAGAACACCUCCAAGAAGGUCGUCUUUAUCAAUGACGAAUGUUUCAUUGACAAUCCCUCGAGGACAAUGUGGGUGGCUCUUUUGCUGAGCUACAUAGACGACUUUCCAGCCGAGCUUUCAUGCCGGGGGGUGGACCCUGAAAGUAUUAGAAUUUUGGAUCCUGAUGCCGGGGGGUGGACCUUGAAAGUAUUAGAAUUUUGGAUCCUGAUGCUGCAGAUAAAUGAAGUGAGUGUUGUGGAAGAUUUCAAUCCUUGUCCCCCUCAGGAUUUUCCAGAACUUGCUUAGCCAGAACAUCUUUCAGGUACACUGGUUUUUUGCUCUUCUUCAAAGCUUUCUCUUCCUUUGUUAUCGGAAAACUUCACCUUUGGCUUGUACAUAUGCUGGGAUCCUUCUUCUUGAUCUUGGCUAGCAUCUCUAAAAUUAGUAUCUUUGCAGCACUCCAUCCAGUCUUCCUCAUUUGAUGGCAAAUUCAUGUCCACAAGCCUACACUUUUGAAGCAAUGCCAAUUUUGGCGGAUAAUAAUUCAAAGUUGAAGAGAUCAGAAUACUCUUUCUUAAGCUAGUCAAUUGCUAUAAUAUAAAGACUGUUGGAGGGGUUUGAGAAAUAAAGGAGCAAAAUAAAAAUAUUGAAUAGAAACAUUUAUUGGAAGACCAAAGUGAUGGGAAGUAAAUGUAAAAAGAAAUAAAAUAAAAAUAAAGGGAAGGAAAAAAAAUUAAAAAGUUAUGAAAAAAAAGGAAAAGUCUCAAAUAUGCAAUCCUAAAAACCAUUUGCAAUAAUAAAAGCUCAAACUCAAGAUUGCUUACAUUCACCACAUAUAUGCAUUUGUAUAAUUAUUGCUAUAGAAAAUGAAAAUUGAUUUUGUUGUUAGUAUAGAUGAUUUUGCCACACAAUGCAACUGUAAAUGGCAAUGUGUGGCAACAAGCCAAGCAAUAAAAUAUAAACCCACUAACCUUUAUCAACUUUUAUCAUUUUGUCAUUCCAAACACCACAAGCCAAAAUCCCCACCUCAUAAACCAGAAUUCUGCAACAAAGAAAUUCAUUGCUCCAUCUCUCCAAAAGGAUAUAGAUGACACCUAGUGUCUAAAGCACUAUGCCUAUGAUACCAUGUGAAGAGAAGCUAGCCUCUCCACCUAAUACUCUAAAAAAAGAGAGCAGCUCUCACAAAAUAGGAAAAAAAACUAAGAAGCUUAAAUUGAAGGAAUGUGACUCAAGCCAUUUGGCUUGACUCUAAGACAGGAUGGCAUUAGUGGCUGCCACAUUCUCUACUUUGGUGGCAGGAAGACCCUUUACUCACAACCUCCAGAGGGAUGAGCACACCUAUACAUACCGCUUAAACAAACAAAAUUGUGGCUAAGUUUUCACUUUUUGUCUCUUGUGUUUAUAAUUGAGUUAGUGGUCUAAACCACCGGGCCGUCGGAUGAAGAUCGUGCGGUCCCUGACGAUCAUCGAAUCCCUAACCCUAGCUAAUAUAUAGGGCGCUCUUGAUCGCUCUCCGGAUCAUCGAUCCCAGCGCGCGGCGGCGAGGAUUUCAACUAACGAAAUGGACGAGGAAUUGGCUAAGGUGCAGGCUCAAAUCGCGCGUCUUGAGCCGCAGAUCCAAGCGGCUGGGGAAUCUUUUCUCUUUGCCUUUGAGAGUGGCAAUCAAUUUCUGGCGAAAUAUUGGCAGAAAAAGGAAGAGCAGCUGCGGAAGAAAAAAUUACAGCUGUGGAAGAAGGAACUCCUCCUCCUCAAAUCUAAUUGUAAGUCAUUCUUUGUGGGCGUUUUGCUGUGUGUUGUGGAUUAUGUGUGGUUCCAUUGGCUACUUUCGGCCAUGGUUAAGGAUUUUGCCAGAGGUAGCUUCAAUUCGCUUUUAUUUUGGGUUGGUGGAAGUGUGGCUAUGGUGGCUUUUGGCUGUGCUGCCGGUGGACGCAUGCUCCCUUGUGCAUCCUUGGUCGUCCUUGUAUGGCUAUGGCUGUUGAGACCCUGGUUUUUUCUUCUAGAUCUAAUACUAACUUUGUUUUGUUCUGAAUGUUGCAGUGCUUAGAAAUAUGAACUAGUGAAGUCCAUGUAAACAAGCACCCUAGAUUGCAUGAUGUGUGUAAGGCUAUAUGGAGUAUCGGCCCGUGAGAAGAAGUAUGGUAUGUGCCAGUCUCGAGGCUCGGCUCCUUGCAAGUGCCUCUCGAGAGCCACUGGGCGGUAUGAAGUAGACCCGAGCACCGCUUGUCCAUCGCCACCACCUUUCAUCACUGCUGAGACGUGUUCCGCUAGAUCAGAGGCAGGAUUUCCUGGGAGUCUCGUAUUUCCCGAACAAGCUGCUCCAGCCGGAUAUGGUGUCGCCCCUGGACAAGUGCCUGAAUAUGUGCAAGGCAAACUGCUCCUGUGCCGCGGUCUUCUAUAGCAAGAACUCGAGCGGCUGCUACUUCGUCAAGGACAUCCUGGGAAGCUUGGACUUUGAUGCCACUGCUGCGGUGCAGUACUCCGCUCAUCUCAAGCUCGAGAGUGGCAGCAUUGUCCUGAAGCCUGGAUGCUACUUUAUCUAGUUGGGUGUCUUCUCUUUGGGAUGACUGGUAGCCUGACACUAGAGUUUGCUCAGUUCUGCUCACAAGUCUGUGCGUUCCUCCAAAGCCCCCUUGUUUGCUUUUCAUGUCUGUCUUGUGUUUUACUUGGUCAUUCCCCGAUGCCUUCGCCUCUCAGAUCUGUGUUGCGAAAUCCCUGACCAUAACCACACAUGGAAGAGAUGACUAACCGAGAAGGAGCUCUUUCUCCUCUCCCGCAGCAGCCUCUCUUUCACCCGGAGCAGCAGCAACUCUUUAUCCUGGAGCGGAAUCUGUUUCUUUCUUUCUGUGUGGAUAUCUGGUAAUCUCCGCAUCCUUGUGGUCAUUCUCACCCCUGUUUGCCAUUUGGCUGUGUUUAAUUCUGUGGCCAUUCCUCCAUAAACUAUAUUGUGCCUCUCACAGCACCAGCGCCAGCAGCGGGACUUCCUCCAGCCGAUUUUUAUGUGCCUGGUAAGAAUGAUGUCUAGGGGACUGAAUGCCAUGACUGGACAAGCCAUGCGACUUUUCGGGAGCUCCAUAUUCCCGCUUUCUGUGGCUAUCAAACAUACAUGUACAUGGGUCGCUCACCCUUCAAGGAGAUAGAAAGUUUCGUAUCGGCCUUGAGACACGGCGCUUCGGAUAAUGACAACAAACCUCCAGGUAUUAUUAUUGGAACUCCGGGGUCUGGGAAGACCACUGUUCUUGCUACUGUGGCUGGAUAUCUUCGGCACCUUUGGAAGAACACCUCCAAGAAGGUCGUCUUUAUCAAUGGCGAAGAUUUCAUUGACAAUCCCUUGUGGACAAUGUGGCUGGCUCUUUUACUGAGCUACAUAGACGACCUUCCAGCUGAGCUUUCGUGCCGGGGGCGGACCUUGGAAGCAUUAGAAUCUUGGAUCCUGUCGAGAUCGUCAGAGCAGCUUUACUUUCUGGUGGACGAGGCCAACGCGUUUGACACCACGCUGAAGAGAGAACCGGGGGCUGCCAGCGCGAAAAAAAGAGACGACGCUUACCAUUUUAUGAAGAAUAUGCAACUGCAGCACGUCGUUGUCUACUGCUCAAGUACGUGGACGAGCAGAUUAGUGAGCGACAAAAGCCAGGUGGUUACAACGUAAGUGGCGACUACUUUCCAACACUGGUGUGGGGCUAACUUGUGUGCUUUUCCUUUUAUCCAACAGGCUGAGGAACUGCAGGCAUAUUGCGAACACGAGGUUCGUCGUGCCGGGGGGCUCCAAGUGGAGGUGAGCAUCGUAUUUACCGUGUCUUCUUUUAAAGCCUACUAAUGGUUUGGAGUAGGAGGAUCCGAUUGUGGCGUAUUGCAGGCUUGCCACAAGGCAAGGCCACCGAGAGUUGAUCCGACAAAUUCAGCUCCUCCUCAGAUCCAUCAACCUGCUUCAUCGCGUCGGUAAGCCACACAUUCACACAUUUCAUUUACCUUAAUGCGUUUGCUCGGAAUUCAAAAGUGAGACCGGCUGGGUUCCCAGGCUUGUUCGCUCAUUACGGGACCUGGAAGCUAGGGACCACGUACCAGAUGUACGAAGCUGGCCUGGGAGAGUAUAUCCAAGAGGCGGUCAAGGACCCAGAUCGCUGGAAUUCCUUCAUCGCUGUGGUCAGCAGAGUGGAAACGAUUAGAGCGGUGUUACCAGACGCGCUAGACACUCGAUGUUUUUACGUGGAUCCAGAGACACAAACAGGAAAAUGUCCAUCAGAUUCUCUGUGCGCGCGCACUAUGGCGACUCUGCAGUACGCGUCUGACGUUGAGGCUAGGAUGGGUAUCGGCCAAUGGACAAGGCUGAUCUCGCAGGAUGACAACAGUGCUCGGGUUGGGUGGAACGCAAUAAUGGCAACUCUCAUUUUCAUCAAACACUAUGGUAUCGUUAUUACCGCGGAAGGUCUGCAGCUUAACUUUAAACCUGAAGUGGUUGUCAGAUUCGAACCCCAACUUCUGUUUGGAUCCUAUGAUCCCCCCCCCAUCCUUCGUGGGGUACAACACACCUCAGUCCAAAUGCUUCCAUCAGUCCUUUUAGGACCAUUUUUUGACUCUACUUAAGUCAUCCAGCAGUUUUAGACUUGAUUAAUUCACAGACCUAUAAGGUCCCACUUGUGAAGCACUAGCUCACUGGAAUACACUUCCUGCAUUCCUGUCCUACUUAGAAGGACUAUUUUCACAAGUGUUAUUCUGACACUUGUUUUUGUUCUCUAGGGCAACUUCUGCCCCUUAGAACUACUUGUCCAUGUGAUGAGAAUACCAACUCAUCUUUAAGUACACCCCCCAACUCUUUGGGUUGUUCUAACAUUUAUUAAAGGUAGCCCCGGCUACCAUUUCAAGGGCUGGUGUCCUCUUCUGUAUUUGACAUCCCACAGUCAACAAUUUUAGUCUCGAAUUUAUGAGUACCAGCCUCAACCAUAUAAGGGUAAUCUUGUGACUCCUUUAUUGUUUUGGAGUCUGCAUCUUCCCCGUGAUCCCAAUUGUAGUUGUUUACCACAACUACAUUAGCAAGUUUGUUAAGUCAAACGCUCAUCUGGAUCACAUCCUCAACUCUCUGAAGAAACCCUUAUACUAUUCCCAAGAUCCCAAAGUCAUUCCAUUAUUGGCCCCUUUUCUAUCCAGCACAUUGCACCCAAGUUCACGCAUGAACUUGAGUGGAGAGCCAUGUCCUCUCGACAUGCUACUCCUCAAGGAUAGGCCCACUCCUAGGACUUUCUGAUGCCAAUAUCAAUGGUGUUAUACUUGAGCACCAAUAAAAGUCGGACUAAAGAACAACUCCGAUACUAAGUUGUAAGUGACUAAAUUUUCCAUUUUACUUUAGUCACUUAACCGCACCUCCGACCACUUGGAGGAGUCUCACUCACAACCUCCGUAAGUCCUAUUUUGGACCUGGGCUUACUAGCCCCGAGAAUGGCAUCCCCGCCACUCAACUUCGUGCACUUGGUCCAAGUGCUCCACGUGUCCGAUCCCAUGACUGACACCCCAAGGUACCACCAACAUAUCAGCCUGUUACGCUAAGGCCAUGCCCAUUCACCUUGGUCACAACGAUGGUCUGACACCAUCUGCAUCCCAAUCCCAUCACUUAAAGACUGGGCCAUCCAUCCAUGAGUGAUCAUCCCAAAUCCACUCCUUAGCAUCCUUAGGAUGCCCACCGACAUGGGGAUUAGCCUUCCCCAAUAUCUCCGUUCCAAUCCCCACUAAGUCCCUUUUCGUCCAUGGCCGUGUUUGCCAACACUGCCACUGGAUCGAGGCCCACAGGCCCGACCACUAAGUCCCACGGUCCACUGGGACUUCCUCACCACACGACUGUGUCCUUGGUCACUACCCCAGAGGACUGCUCCUCUUCCUUUCCACAGUCUGAGCCUUUGGGACAACAUUUCGGAACACCGUGGCCUUACGCGAGCCACCUGGGUACUCUCCCCGCCUUCCGCCCUUGGGUGCUCUAGCCAUGGGCUUAGAGCGAGGUUCCGUUGAGCCACGCCUGGUAUCCAAGUAGGUAGUGCCACCCACACUUGGACUGGGAGCAUCGGCCAGUCGAUCUCCCGGGGGAACUAGAGCCGGCUCUUGAACACUUCACCAAGCUACCCCGCUUGUCGGUCUGUGUUCACUCUAGUCUUGGACUUCCCAGUGGUCAGCUCAUCACCCAACACUGGGUCUGGCCUUCCUGGGCCAAACUGGCCUUUCCUAGCCAAACUGGCUCCACUGGGCUCCAACCCCCACACUCUCCCUACUAUACUUUUGGAAACCCCCGCCCUGGGGGACGAUCGCUUUGGGCUUUCACCCAACUGCCUGUAUUAGUAUUCGGACUCGGACUCGGACUCGGUCUCGGUCUCGGUCCCGAAUUCGGACUCGGACUCAAUCUCGGUCUCGGUCUCGGUCUCGGUCUCGGUCCCGGUCUCGGUUCCAUCUCGGACUCCAUCUUGGGUCCAUCUCAGACUCCAUCUCGGGUCCAUCUCGGACUCCAUCUCGGGUCCAUCUCGGACUCCAUCUCGGGUCCAUCUCGGACUCCAUCUCGGGUCUAUCUCGGGUCCAUCUCGGACUCCAUCUCAGGUCCAUCUCGGACUCCAUCUCGGGUCCAUCUCGGGUCCAUCUCGGACUCCAUCUCGGGUCCAUCUCGGACUCCAUAUCGGACUCCACUUCGGGUCCAUCUCGGACUCCAUCUCGGACUCCAUAUCGGACUCCACUUCGGGUCCAUCUCGGACUCCAUAUUGGACUCCAUCUCAGACUCCACUUCGGCCUCUACUUCGGGUCCAUCUCGGACUCCACUUCGGGUCCAUCUCGGACUCCACUUCGGGUCCAUCUUGGACUCCAACUCGGGUCCGCCUCGGACUCCAUGUCGGACACUUCCACGUGUCAUGUGUUGGUCCUUUUUGGGUCCCUUUUUGGAGCCUUGCUUAUUGGUUGCCUCGUGCUUGCUCCUCGAGCACUUUGUUGGGAGUUCCACUCCCGCUCUCAACCUUCCAAGUCGGAGCUUUUAGUCCAAACGUGUUAUGCUCGUUUGGCUUUCGCUUCGGCCACUACCACGUGGCACCCUUUCCAGCUCCACUUUGGGGGCCUAGGGAUUUUGUGUCUCACACAAAUUUGGACACUUUCCAUAAAUAGCAUUUGGGACCGAAAUGAGACUAACACAAAAGGCAUGAUAGCGAGGGUUUUUGGUAGGCACGGUAAGCUAUUAUCCAGCGAUAUUGAGGGACUAAUCUCAAUACGCGAGGGUUCUUGUCAAGCCAGUGCAAGACAGAGCAAAAGAGAACUAAAAAGCCAGGCCAAGUAUGUUUGGCUAAAUAGACACUUAGGAAUUCCGUCCUUAUGCUCAUCCGGCCAAGUACAGAUGCAAAGUCCAGUUUACUAACACUUGAACAAGAGGGGCUGGCAAAGGGUCUAGCAAUACUGACCUCCUGCCAUCAUGGCAGUAAGGAAAGAGUGUCCGUAAGGACUGGUCGACAGGUAACUUUCGAUACCCGAAGUCACAUUCGCGACAAUUCCUGAUAGCACCCCCUCGGAUUGAAGAUCAUUUCUGAUCGCAUUCAUCAAGGAGGAGUCCUGAGGGGCCAGAGAAAUUGCCAUAACUUGAAGCCGAUCAGGACCGAGGAUAACUUGAUCAUGUUGAUUGAAGGCAGGAUUACCAGGCCUGAGACUGAGAUAGGACCGCCUUGAAAGAGCAUCAGGAAGGCCUUGAAACUUUCUAGGUCUGUACUUGAUAACAAAGUCAAACCGACUCAAGAAUUGUGCCCACCUUGCUUGACGACGGCUCAAAACUCAGGAAGUGGCAAAGCACUCAAGAUUUUUGUGAUCCGUCCAGACCAUUGUUUGAUGGCCCGCCCCCUCCAAGAAACGACACCACUCUCCAAAGGAAUCCACGAUGGCAAGAAGCUCCUUGUCAUGGAUUUCGUAAUUGAUCUCCGCAGGUUGGAAUUUCUGAUAAUGGAAGGCGACUGGAUGAAAUUCUUGAUCCGCUCCGAGUUGAAACAACACAGCACUGAUGGCAAAGUCAGACACAUCAGCCUCGAUGAAGAAAGGUUGUGAGGGAUCAGUGUGGAUCAAGACAAGAGCAAAACUGAAGGCCGCCUUGAGUGUGUCGAAGGCCUGCUGGGCAGCAGCAGACCAAGAGAAGGGAACAUCCUUGUGAGUGAGAUGCGUGAGAGGAAGGACAAUGUCAGAGUAGUGAUCAAUGAAUUUGCAAUAGGAAUUGGCGAAGCCAAGGAAAACCUGAACAUCCGACAUUGAUUGUGGAGGCUCCCAUUCGAGAAUAAUCUUGACUUUGGCAGGAUCCAUCGUGAUACCCUCAAGAGUGACAAUGUACCCAAGGAACUCCACAGACUCCUGAUCGAAGGAACAUUUCUCAAGCUUCGCAUAUAAGCCAUGUUCCCGCAGCUUUGCCAACACCUUGCGCACAUGCUCGUCGUGCUCCUCCUGAGUUUUUGAGUAGAUGAGGAUGUCAUCAAGGUAGACGAUCACCAUCUGAUCAAGAAACUCCCGAAAGACGUUGUUUGCCAUGUGUUGGAAAAUUGUUGGAGCAUUUGUCAAGCCAAAUGGCAUAACGGUGUAUUCGAAGUGGCCAUAUGUAAGCCACAAAUUUUUCCUUUCCAAUUUGCCAGCUUACCUCGCCUAUCCGUCCAACACCGCCUUGGCUUUUGCUAAGUUCCCUUGCCAAGGUUCUCGCCUAUGGUACCAGCUCCUACUUGGUCUCAGCUACUCACUGCACGAGCAACGGAGUGUUAGCCACCAUCCACGGAUUCCCAAAUCACUCCCAAUCCCCCUCCCCGGGUUAGACUGGACUUAAGGUUCGGCUACACUCCCCGCAAGCACAAGCAGCCAAGCACACCAAGCUUCCAGGUUCCUAACAUCCUUUGGUACCACAAGACUUGAUCAUGGGACCCUCUAAAUCCCAAGUCUUGAGUGCAACACUUGCUUCGGGACGCCGGGGCGAAACACCGUGGCCUAGCGGCCCGGUAUGGGUACCUCUCGCCCCCCACUUCCAUCCCGAAGGAAGGCCCAAGCCCCUAGGAAGGGCGAGGACCAAUGAGCCGCAUGGUACUCAAGUGGGGCACCACUCCACUUGAGCCGGGAGCACCGCAAUCGGUUUCCCUUUCGGGAGUGGGAGCUGCUCUUGAGCACUUCCUUGGAUGGCCCCUCCGGCACCAACCAAGUCCAUGCUCACUCCCACCCAAGGCCCCUCGGUCCCAGUCCCAACCUCAAGUCAGUUUGGGAGCCCCACUGGAGAGUCCCUUCUAAACUGGUUCCUGGACCUCACUAUCCCUACCAUACUUUUGGAACCCCCUACAGCCCCCCCCCCCCCCUGGGAGACGCACGCUUUGGGCUUUCACCCCUUGACCCGUAUUAGUAUUUGGACUUAGUCUCUGGCUCGAUCUCGGACCCGAUUUCGGAUCCGACUUCGGAUUCGGGUUCGGACUCGAUCUCGGACUCGAUCUCGGACCCGAUCUCGUACCCGACCUCGGACUCGACCUCGAACUCGGUCUCGGACCCGAUUUCGGAUCUCGGACUCCGUCUCGAACUCAGUCUCGAACUCGGACUCGAACUCGGUCCCCGAGUCGGUCUCGGACUCGAUUCCGGACUCGAUCUCGAACUCGGUCCUAGAGUCGGUCUUGGACUCGAUCUUUGACUUGGUCCCAUCCGAUGAACUCUUUGUCAUUUUGGUCAUGCUUUCGGGGUUCCUUUAGCCUACGACACCUCGGCGAGUUGGUUCCUUACACCAUAGCGGGUUCGGAACGCAGUCUUCCAUUCAUUACUAGGCCGGAUCUGGAUCAGGUUGUAUGCUCCACAGAGGUCGAUCUUGGUGAAGAAGCAGGCACCGCUGAGGCGUUCCAAUAUGUCUGAGAUCAGGGGCAGUGGAUAACGGUUCCGAACAAUCACCUUGUUCAAACCUCGGUAGUCGAUGACUAGCCGCAAACUCCCAUCCUUCUUCUUGACAAAGAAGACAGGCACUUCAGUCGGGGACUGCGAAUGCUGAAUGUACCCCGAGGCAAGGUUCUCAUCCACGUAUUCUUUGAGGGCCUUAAGCUCGGACGGGGAUAACCCAUAGAUAGGCCCCCACGGAGGUGAUGCUCCUUCCUGUAAAUCAAUGGGACAGUCAUAAGGCUGAUGAACAGGCAGUACACUAGCUUUUUUCUUGUCAAACACAUCCCCAAAAUCAUGAUACUUCUCAGGAACACUGACAGGAGAAACAUGCAAAGCAAAAAAGGAAAAUAGAUUCUUCAUGAAGAAGUUCUUUCAUAGUGAUUGUGGAGAUAGGAGGAGGUGUACAACUAAAUGGAAUGAUGAGACGAGGAUACUGUCCAGUGUAAUAUGGAAGAGAGGAAAAAGAAGAGGGUGAAAACUUCGUAGAGUCAGGAAUAGAACCCCAAUUUAAGUUUAAGGAACUUUUCCUGAUUCGGACUCGAUGAACAGCAGGGGAAGCCAUGGGAGAUGAUGAUGUGGGAGAGACGAGCUGUAAUUCCUUCCAAUAGAUCUGAGGCUGAUGUAGUUGGAACCAAGGGAGGCCAAGCACCACAGAGAAGGACUUGUUGUUGAUGAUGUUGAAGGCGAUAUCGGUGACGGUGGACCCGAUGUGUACUUGAAAGGGCAACAUUUCCCUAAGUCCAGAAGAUGGAAACACAAAAUGCCUGCCGAUGCCUUCAACCCUCAGAUCCCGUAUGGUAGGAGAAAGAGGAACGUGAUGUCAGGCAGCAAAGUUCGUGUCCAUGAAGCAGGAAGUUGCACCCGAGUCCAGUAGUGCCAGAGCCUUGAGUCCUGAUUGUCCGGUGAAAGAAAGGAGACAUAGGAUGCGGAAGUUGCGGGAAUUGGUGGUGGCUUUGAUGAAAGGUGGUGAAGAGCUUGAUAAAGAAGAAAAGUGAUUUUUAUUUGGGGAGUCCAAACAGACAGCUCCUACUUUGUUUGGACAGGGUCGUUUCCCAAUUGCAACAGAGAUGGACUUUGAGGCAGAGUGAACUCGAGCAAUCGGGGAGGCUUCUUGGGACACACAGUUGCUUUGUGAUUAGGAUCAGCAUAGUAGAGGCAAAGAUUAUGAGAUAUUCGACGUUGCUUCUCAGCAGGACUCAACUUCCCUCUGAUGAGUCGGGGAGUACCAGAAAUAUCCAUCGGGACCGGAGUAGUAGGUCCAGGAGUAUGCUCUGAAGACUCAAGCUGGGAUUCCUGAGUCUGGGACGGGAAAACGGCGGCACGGUGACUUUUCUGAUGACGUUCAAAGAGACGAUUGUCGCAUCAAACAGCUUUGUUGAUGGCGUCCGACAAGUCCGUGGGAUCCUCCAUGGUGAGCAACAAAUCCUUGACACCGUUGUUGAGGCUGAAACGAAAUUGAUCAAUCAAGGCCUGCUCAUCCUAUUGAGUGUCCAAGGCAAGGAGUUGGAACUCUGCAGCAUAGAUCGAGGCAGGACGAGACCCUUGAGAGAGACGUCUCAUCUUUGUGGUGGCAGCCCGAACCCGAUCCGUCUCGCCAAAACAUGCUUCGAGCUUCUCUUUGAACAAUUGAAAAUCCAUCAGCUCCAGAACCACGACCCCUUUCAUGCUCUUCUCCAGGAGAGGAGAAAACCAUGACAAAGUUGCACCUUCGAGCAACAUCCCAAUCGCACCAAUUUGAGACUCGGGAGUGGGGUACCGCCGAUGUUAAAGUCCGAAGAUCAGCUCCAUCUGGUUCAGGAAUCCACGAAGCUCUGAACGCUUCCCUAAAAAUUUUGCCGGGAAACUCACCUUCGGUUUAGGAACUUUGUUGGAUCCUUGAGCCGAAAGUGAAGCAAGCUCCUGUUGCAUGCGAAGAAGGGUCGCCUUCAGCUCAAUAUUCUCAGACUGGAUUUUUGCAAGGACUUCGGCAAAGAAAUCAGGAUGGCUUGGAAACUCCAUUGGAAAAGAAGAAAGAAAAAAGGGGGAAAAAAUGCAAAGGCAGUCAAACAAUCAAAACAAGCUAAAGCAAAAAACGAAAAAACACAAUCUAAAUCAAACUAUCAAGACCCCUAACAAGAUCAAGACUGGAAAAUGCAAAAGACAAAGAGAAAAGCUAGUGAAUAACGAAGAAGAGGCCUUAGACUAGUGUUGAUUCAGAUUGUAGAGAAAUGGAACAAAGCUAACUUAUAUAUACUAUAGGUUGAUGAAGCUCCACCACUUUUGGAUCGAGGACGGCCCAAAUAUAGUUGAGGUUGAGGAGGCGUCACAUCAUCAUCAGGAAUGUGGCUCGAGACUCAGGAAUCGUAUGGGAAAUCGAGAGUCAGGAAUAGGGAAGUGUUUUGAGAGUCAGGAAUAGGGAAGUGUCUCGAGAGUCAGGAAUGUGGUCUGCAGGUCAAGAAUCUGGCGAGAGUCAGGAAUGUGGCAAGAAUUGGGGGAUUUCUGACAACAAUAAAAGGAGUGAUCAAUGUAAGCUCCUAAGUUUAGACUUUCCAGGGGUGACAAUAAAAGGAGUGAUUAAGUGUAAGUUCCUGAGUUUGGAAUUCCCAGGAGGUCACCUAACCUAGUACUAUUCAAACCUAAGAACGUUUAACUCAAGUAUCCCAAAACCUUUAACUAAUUUGAAAAAGGGGUGCACUUUUUUUAAGGGCGUUUUCCCUUUAUAUUUGAAUCCUAUGUAUCAUUUUUCAAAUCGUUCUUUUUGGUUGCUUAUAAUCCACCACGCUUCCAUGUAAUUUCAUGCCUUCAUGAAUGGAAGCUGAAAGCCAUAGCUCAACUCAAGAGUUUAUAUUUGGUAUCAGAGAGGUCUUGGGUCCGACUUUAUUGAUUGGCUAAAAGAAUUGCACUAGAUAUUGAUUGACAUCAGGUAAGUUUAAUUUACUUUUUAAUUAUUUAUAAUUAAUGAUGAAGACACCAUUAACUUUGUAGCUCCCUAUGCCAAUUCACCUAUCAACCCCACAAUAGAACCUACACUUAGUUUGUGGCCAUCUACCAUAUAGCUUAACAUGAUUGUAAUUUAGGGCAUUUUGUCAUUCUAGAUACCACCUCAUAAAUCAGAAUUCUGCAGGCAAGGAAAUUCAUUGCUCCAUUUUUCCAAAGGACAAAGAUGACACCUAGUGUCUAAAGCACUACUCAUGCCAAAAAUUCUAACCUAUGCCUCUUAUACCAUGUGAAGAGAAGCUAGCCUCUCCACCUAACACUCUGCAGAAAGAGAAAACUCCAAGAACAAGCAGCUCUCACAAAACAGCAAAAAGAGGUAAGAACGUUAAAUUGAAGAAAUGUGACUCAAGCCAUGUGGCUGACUCUAUGGUGGCUGCCACAUUCUCUACUUCAUAGAGUCUGCCACAUUCUCUACUUUGGUGGUAGGAAGACCAACUGUAAAAUAGAAGCCACUAAAACAAACAAAAUUGUGGCUAAGUUUUCACAUUUUGUCUCUUUAUCGUGCUAUCGUUACGGUUUUAGGGCAAAGCCCACCACCAACCUAGGUUUUCACGAUAGGGUUUCAAUUAACGAAAUGGACGAGGAAUUGGCUAAGGUGCAGGCUCAAAUCGGGCGUCUUGAGCCGCAGAUCCAAGCGGCUGGGGAAUCUUUUCUCUCUGCCUUUGAGAGUGGCAAUCAAUCUCUGGUGAAAUAUUGGCAGAAGAAGGAAGAGCAGCUGCGGAAGAAGGAAGAACAGCUGCGGAAGGAAAAAGAACAGCUGCGGAAGAAGGAACUCCUCCUCCUCCAAUGUAAUGGUAAGUCAUUCUUUGUGUAUUUAGCUUUCCCCCUCGAUUUGGGGAUGGCUGCUUUCAGCCAUGGUUAAGGAUUUUGCCAGAGGUAGCUUCAAUUCGCUUUUAUUUUGGGUUUGUGGCGUGUUGCGAAAUCCCUGACCAUAACCACACAUGGAAGAGAUGACUAAGGAUCUCUUUCUCCUCUCCCGCAGCAGCCUCUCUUUCACCCGGAGCAGCAGCAACUCUUUAUCCCGGAGCGGCUCCACUGUCCUGCUUUGCUUUCCCUGUCUGGUCACGGUUAAGGAUUUUUGCUUCCUGAAUCUGUUUCUUUCUUUCUGUGUGGAUAUCUGGUAAUCUCCGCAUCCUUGUGGUCAUUCUCACCCCUGUUUGCCCUUUGGCUGUGUUUAAUUCUGUGGCCAUUCCUCCAUAGACUUUAUUGUGCUUCUCACAGCACCAGCGCCAGCGCCAGCAGCGGGACUUCCUCCAGCCGAUUCUUACGUGCCUGGUAAGAAUGAUGUCUAGGGGACUGAAUGCCAUAAUUUUUGGUUUCAGACAUGAUCGCCUGGGCCAAAAAGCUGGACGAGAACCUGACCGCAGAUUUUGCUGACGGCGGCAUUGACUGGACAAGCCAUGCGACUUUUCGGUAGCUCCAUAUUCCCGCUUUCUCUGGAACGGAUGGCAAUCAAACAUACAUGUACAUGGGUCGCUCACUCUUCAAGGAGAUAGAAAGUUUCAUAUCGGCCUUGAGACACGGCGCUUCGGAUAAUGACAACAAACCUCCAGGUAUUAUUAUUGGAACUCCGGGGUGGUCUGGGAAGACCACUGUUCUUGCUACUGUGGCUGGAUAUCUUCGGCACCUUUGGAAGAACACCUCCAAGAAGGUCGUCUUUAUCAAUGGCGAAGAUUUCGUCGACAAUCCCUUGAGGACAAUGUGGCUGGCUCUUUUGCUGAGCUACAUAGACGACCUUCCAGCCGAGCUUUCGUGCCGGGGGUGGACCUUGAAAGUAUUAGAAUCUUGGAUCCUGUCGAGAUCGUCAGAGCAGCUUUACUUUCUGGUGGACGAGGCCAACGCGUUUGACACCACGCUGGGUGUGAAAACUGGGGGCUGCCAGCGCGGAAAGAAGGGACGAGGCUUACCAUUCUAUGAUGACGAUGCAACUGCAGGACGUCGUUGUCUACUGCUCGUCCGUCGGACCUCUGUGGAGGAGCAGAGUAGUGAGCGACAAAAGCCCUCCGUACAUGUUAGUCACAGGUGGUUACAGCGUAAGUAGCGACUACUUUCCAACACUGGUGUGGGGCUAACUUGUGUGCUUUUCCUUUUAUCCAACAGGCUGAGGAACUGCAGGCAUAUUGCGAACACGAGGUUCGUCGUGCCGGGGGGCUCCAAGCGGAGGUGAGCAUAGUAUUUACCGUGUCUUCCUUUAAAGCCUACUAAUGGUUUGGAGUAGGAGGAUCCGAUUGUGGCGUAUUGCAGGCUUGCCACAAGGCAAGGCCACCGAGAGUUGAAUGCGAAACGCAUUAAGGUAAAUGAAAUGUGUGAAUGUGUGGCUUACCGACGCGAUGAAGCAGGUUGAUGGAUCUGAGGAGGAGCUGAAUUUGUCCGACAUGGAGCUCUGCUCGGAAUUUAAAAGUGAGACUGGCUGGGUUCCCGGGCUUGUCGCUCAUUACGGGACCUGGAAGCUACGGACCACGUACCACAUGUACGAAGCUGGCCUGCGAGAGUAUAUCCAAGAGGCGGUCAAGGACCGAUAUCGCUGGAAUUGCUUCAUCGCUGUGGUCGGCGGAGUGGACACGAUUACAACGGUGUUGCCAGACGCGCUAGACACUCGAUGCUUCUACGUGGAUGCAGAGACAGAAAUAGGAAAAUGUCUAUCAGAUUCUCUGCGUGCGCGCACUAUGGUGCUCAUCACCGAGACUCUGCGGUACGCGUCCGACUUUGAGGCUAGGAUGGGUAUCGGCCAAUGGACAAGGCUGAUCCGGCACGACGACAACGUUGGGUGGAACGCAGAAAUGGCAACUCUCAUUUUCAUCAAACACUAUGGUAUCGUUAUUGACACGGAAGGUCUGCAGCUUAACUUCAAACCUGAAGUGGUUGUCAGAUUCGAAGGUGAUUUCUCUCCCCAAUUUCUGAUCGCAGACAAUGUUUCUCGUUUCUUCCCACCUGUGAAGUUCAACCACACGGGAGUUGAUUGCCUUGGAGAAAACCAGAAGCACGUUUUGUGGGUGCAAAUAGCGACUGGGGUGGAUGUGGUAUUGAAGCAUGGAAAUACGCUCUCGCGAUUUUUGGAGAUGACAAAAGGUGACGCGCGAGAGAAGGUUCUUAUUUGGAUCUUGGCAGUGGACAGUGCUGAUAAGAUAUGGAUACGCAAUGGCGUGGGUUACAAGGAGGUGUUCAUUUGUUUUGGCCGUUUGAGUGAACUGCUGGAAGUCAUCGACGUUGCAUGCUGCAGGCUGCAUCUCGAGAGUAGCAAGAACGUCAAGGUGGCAAGCAACCCUGAAGAAGCUAAAGCUGAGGUGGAGGAGUUGAGAAAGCUUGGUCGGUGCGGUUCCUUGAGCACGGGAAGUGGAAAUCCGUGUCGGCGUUUUCGUGGUGACGAGCCAUAUUGCCAUCACCACGAUAAGCGUCCUUGAAUAGUCUUCAGUGUUUCAGCCUUGGAUGUUUACAUUUAACCAUCACAUUUUGGAAAUUUUGGGAAUUGUUGGUUUUUCUAGCCAAGCUUGUGCUUCUCGACGAUUGCAGCGAUAAGCCGAUGCUGCAGAUAAACGAAGCGGGUGCUUCUAAAGUGCGGGCUUCUAAAGUGUGGACUUGUGGACACGGAUUUGUGGUCAGAGGAGGACAAGGAUGAUGAUGAGGAUGGAGCGCUGCGGAGGUACGAAUUUUAGAGACGCUAGCACUUACAAACCUGUAAUGGACUAUCACCUCAAAAUAUUUUGUGAUCUAAAGUUCAGUAAAAUCUUGUCAAGCUGUAAUGCCUCUAUAGCUCAGUGGUAGAGUGUCAGUCUUGUAAACUGAAGGCCUGGAGUUCAAUCCUCCAUGGAGGCAAUGUAUUUUGUUCUGGGAAAAUUAGACCUUGGUCCUUCAGUAUAGUCAAGCAAAAACCUGGGCGUGAUCUCUGAGGAGGUGGAAAAAAAAGAGCUUUCAACCAUGCCAGAUCGAUGAAGCUUCCUUACGCUAUGGAAACGAAGGAGUUUAACACGUGAACCUCUUUCGGAUAGCAACACCGCUGACCACUUUUUCUACAGAGAAAACUGUGUCUCUAUGCUCCAGUUCCUCCUCUUCUUCCCGCCAGGAAAGGUUCUUCAUCCUCUACUCGAGAUUCCUGGAGGUUCAUCAACCGGGUGUAGUUUUCCAGAAUCUGCUUCCCAUUUUGCGUGAUGAUGCUCUCGGGAUGGAACUGGACAGCCUGAUCGAGUCGAAGAAGUAAGGAAGGAUUGAAGAACACAACUUGAUGCACAGCAAGAACUUCCUACCUGGAUGUGCUUAUACUUGCGAUGCCGCACGCCCAUGAUGAGACCAUCGUCCGUCCACGCCGUGAUCUCAAGCUCGUCGCCAGGAAAGGUUUCUCUUUCGAUGACCAAACUGUGAUACCGGCACGCUGUAAAUGGACUAAAAACAAGUGUUUGAAAAGAGAUUGGUAACAGAUAAGAAAGCAUACUUGGGCAAGCCUGAAAAUAUUCCUGGUUCACCUUUCUCGUCAUAGUAUACCGAAGAAACUUUCCCGUGCAUCACGCCAUUUGGUGCUCGAACAAUCUUUCCUGCCAAUCAAGGUACAGACCAGAACCGGGAAAACGAAGUAGUACGCACCUCCAAACGCCUCGCCAAUGCACUGGAGUCCCAUGCAGACGCCAAACAAAGGAAUAGAGGGCCCGAGUUCUUUCACUGUCUGCAAAGAUAUACCAGAAUCCUGUGGAGUACCUGGAAGGACUUUGCUUGGAAGAAUAAGAUCUACACGGAGAACAUACCUGGUCCCGGAGAAAUUAAAAUCCCACGAGGCCGCUUACUGCGAAAGAAAGAAAAGAUGAAGGCGAUUGUAUUCAGUGAUUGAUAGACGUGAAGAGGUACCUUUUCAAAGCUUGAACGGAAAUCUCGUCAUUCCGAUACACGACGAACUCGCAUCCAAGGUCUCCCAAAUACUGCAGAGCAUAGAUCGAAUGAACAAGGGAGAAAAAAGAGAACAAAAAAAUGGAACCUGGCAAAUGUUGUAUGUGAAGCUGUCAUAGUUAUCGAUCACAACAACAGGGCUUCGCGAUUUUCCCUGCUUGGAGUCGGAUGAAACAGCCCCCGCUGACACUGCCGUGGCCCUCAGCUGCAAAGAUCACUAAAUCUCAUUCACUAGCAAGAGAUCACACACACACAUUGAUCGAUCGCAAAAUAGUCUUUCACCAGACAGAGAAAUCGCUACUUACUCGCCCCGGAAGCGCUGAUGCGGAGGACGAUCGCGCUGCCGAUCUAUGUGAAGUCUCCAGCUCCAAUCUAGAACUGAAGCCCGUCGCCGGGGGGCAUGGCGCUCGAGCAGCCGCCAUCCAAUGCGCACUGGAAGUCUUGCCCUAUCUCUUGGAGAAUAUUCUUAUCUCGAGGUACUAGUGGCGGGAAAAUUUCAUCCCAGAUUAAUGGAUUCUUCUUCCUUGCGGAGCUCGUGCUUAGGGUUUCGCGUCCCUUGCUCGCGAUCGCGAUGCCGGGGCUCUAGGGUAAGUUUUGGGGCGCGAUGCGAGGCCCCGCGGCAGCUCAAGGAGGAGCGGCGGCGCACUCCUCCCACGGCAAAUGCGAGCGUGCCGGUGAGAAUGGUUUGGUAUCUGUCCGAGGCAUUCGGGAUCGCUGCUGCCGGCUUGCGAAAUUUCCAAUCCGGGCUAGGGAAAUCGCAGGACCAGGAGCAAGAAGAAGGGGAUUUUGAGGUCGUGACGAGAGAAAUGGCGUGCGAUCUGAUCAGGAAGGAUUACGAGCAGUCUUAUUUUGUCACAGGUACAUUCGUGUUUUUCUUGGAAGUAAUUCCUUUGAUCGGCUCACAGGAAAGAUGACCACCGGGAUUUACAAGAGCGAUUGCGAGUUCGCAGACCCUUUUGUAUCAUUUAAAGGCCUGAAGCGAUUCAAGCAAAACGUUUCCAAUCUCGGGGCUUUCAUGGAGAAGUCGACACUCAAGAUUGCGAGCUGGGACGAAAAAGAGGUGACGAUUUUCUGGAUCACAAAACCAAAUUCGUCGUCUCUUUUUUUUUCCUUCUUGGUGUUCGAGCAGGAUAGUCUCAAAGUAGGAUGGCGUUUUCGAUGCGUUCUUGCUUUGCCUUGGAGGCCAGCUAUAUCAGGUACCUCUCGUCUCCAAUCUUUCACACUUUCUAAAGGUUUGAGGAUUACUUUGCAGCUAGCGGAAGCACAGAGUAUUUCUUCGAUGACGAGUCUGGCAAGAUUUGCAAGUAAGAUCCAUACUCUCGAGCUGUGCUUCAAGAAAUAAUUUUGUUGUCGAUCAGGCACGUCGAGAGCUGGAACAUAUCACCGGCUGAUGGUGUUAGGCAAUUGUUCAAGCCGUCUAAAGCUGCCAAAUCGUAAAUGUAUAGUCUUGUAAGUUUUCUGUGUAGACUAAGUGGUCCAGUGUUUAACUCCCUCGUUUCUAUACCGUAAGACCGUAUGCUUGAAAGCUCUUUUGAGAUAAGCAAGUCUAGGGUUAAGGACCGAAAUUUCAAGUUUACAAGCCUGACGAUCUACCACUGAGCUAUAGAGGCAUUAGGAUGAUUACAGCUUGACAAGAUUUUCUUUAGAUCACAAAAUAUUUUGAGGUGAUAGUCCAUUACACAUUGCCUUUACAAGACAAACUUUUGUUAAAUCUAGAUUAGUUCACUGUUGGAAGGCUCGUUUUAUCUAAAACCCGAAUUCCACACACUCUUGGUCGAUGCACGCCAAGCCUAGGCAACAAUCGCCCACGGCCUUGCAAGAAGCUCCAACAUUUGGCACCGGGCAAAAGGGUGGCUCGCUACUGCUGCUGCUUGAUGAUCCUGGGAGCAUGCGACUCUCAGCAACAAAAGCUAGAACUGCCAGGAUCACCAAAAGGAUCCUCAAACAAAUGCUCCUUUUUGUCGCCAUUCUCUUUUCUCUUUCACUAUGGGAAUUAGGAUUUGGGGGAGAUGGGGCUUUAUAGUUUAGAGCGCGAGAACCUUUUCAUGGUUCAAGAAUAUUCUUAUUCUUCUAAAAAGGUGAUUUGGAGAAUCGACGCAUAUUCUCUUCAAAAUCUAGAAACUAAAAUCGACGGUCUGGAUUUCAUGCAUUUUAUCCGACGGUUGGUAUUUGUUGUGUCAUCUUGGUUAUGGUUUUAGGGCUGUUUGGAGGUGUGGACGAAAAAAAUGCGCGGGGAUCUCCGGUGAGGGCCACAUUCCCCUCUCUUGAUGCUUAAUCGCGAGCGCGAGCAAUGCCUUGCCUAUCGUGCAUCGUCACCGGGCGAUUUCCAGCGGCAGCCGCGUCAUCCGGCUCCUGCGCGUUCCAAAUCCAUGGCAACAACCUCAUGAGCUCCCAGCACAGAUUCCCGUCUGAAUUUCGCGGCGCUCACAGCCUCCGCAAGGGAAUCGCCGCGAGGACGAGAUUUCGCAGCGCUCGCAUUGUAUCGGCCCAGGAAUCGAGCAGCGGCACCUACUGGGAGCGCGAGGAGGCCCGGUGGCUCCGCGAGGAGGAGAGGUGGAAGAGGGAGGAGCAGCGAUGGCUACGUGAAGAGAAGCGCUGGAACAGCGAUCGAGAAUAUUGGGCAGUGGAGUCGUCGCGGAUGAAGGAAGAGAUCACUAGUCUCAGGAAGGAGGUGGAGAGGUUGGGCCGCAGCGAUCAAGUCCCUGACAAGCACGACGCGUCUCCUUCGUCGCUUAGAGAUGUUCUCGUGGGUCUCCUGCGAACUUUGAGCGAUAGAAAUGAAGAGGCAGUGGCGCCACCGUCCCAGCCAGCGAAGGCUCCACCCAUGGUUACCGAGAAAUCCGUGGAGAGCAUCAAGUUCGUUCUAUCGCCCUCGGAGACUAGCGCUGGCCAGACCAAAAGUUCUUCCAACUCCAAAGGUGGCACCAAAGGUUCUUCCAAGACAGAGAAGAAGCACGCCAUCUCCAACAAGCAGGAAGCGCGGAGCUUGAAAUACGGGGCUGAGGGCGAUGAUGUUAAGCUUCUCCAGGUGUGGUACGUGCUUUCCUUUUCGUUUUUGCGUCCGGCAUUCUCUUCGUUUCAUUUUCUUUCUUGCUCCAAGUAUUUCUAAACCAUUGCCAUCUUGUUCUUUUCCUUGUGAAUUCGCAGGAGGCUCUUGCAAAGCUUGGGUUCUAUUGCGGGGACGACGACAUGGAGUAUGCUUCUUUCUCUAGCGGCACAGACCGGGCUGUGAAGUCAUGGCAGGUACUCUUUUGCUACCUCCUCUGUCUUGCCUUCGUCUCGCAAGGUAUGACCCCGUGUCUUGAAUCUGGCAUGCAGUCAUCUAUAGGUGCUGCAGAGGAUGGAAUUGUUACUGCGCAAGUGUUGUCGCAACUUAUCAGUGAGCAUCAAGUCAUAACAGUGAAUACCUCCGCUGCGAUCAAACCGCCCGAGGUAUCUUAGUUCCUGUAAAACGUUUGGAGCUUUUUGAGGCCUUACCCUUCGACUUUAUACAGAGCCCAGAGGUUGUGGAUAGAAGCUCCACCGGACGAGUUUACCUCCUGGGAGAAAAUCGAUGGGAGGAUCCGGAGAGACUGUUGCACAGGCGGCAAGCGAAUCCCGCUGCGUCUCAGAACUGCUAUACGUGUAGAGGCGAAGGCCAGACACUGUGCUCGGGUUGGUACUUCUCAAACUUUCUCUUCUACAUAUCUCAAAGAUUGGUUUGCAGAAUGCGAUGGCACUGGAGAACUUAACGUCGAAGAACAGGCAAGCUUUCAAGCACUUCCAUUCGGUGUUACUUAUACUCGUUUAAACUUGCAGUUCCUCGACUGGGCCGGCGAAGGGGCCAAGUGCCCAUACUGUGAUGGCUCGGGGACUGUGGUUUGUGAAGACUGCAAGGGGAAGGGCGUGGCGGCCACUUAAGCUAGAGUUCGUCCAAAGUGUAAUAAGAUCGUUCACUUAAGCUCGUUUAAACUCCCAUGGCUGACUUACUUGAUACGUGCCUUGCAGUUUUAGAAGGCUUGAACAAUGUUCCAGCUCCGAAGCGAACACCACGAAAUUCAUUCUUUUAGAACGUAUGUAUUUUUACUUGCCGAAACUUGCUUCCACUGGCUGCAAAUUCUAAUCUUUAUAGCUGAAGAGGAAUGGAAGUUUUGAUGUAACUCGUCUUCAAGGCAAUGCUCUUCGAAAGAUCGAUCAAUUCUAUCAGAAACUGUCGACCGUCGGAUGAAGCUCCAUAGCAGCCGUUGGAUUGAUGAAAUCCAAACCGUCGGCUGUAAUUUGUUUGUAGAACCCUGAAUCUGGUGUGACCUAUAUUGUCGGGUGCCAUGGCGGGGGCGGAGGCAAUCGUCGCGGCAGUGGUCGCAUCCCUGAUCCUCAGCUGCGCGGCCUUUACCGAGGAGAAUCCAACCGAUCGGCGCGUUCUUGUUCUUCUGGAGGAUCUCGCCAUCGAGUCCACGCAUUCGUUGUUCUUCAAAUCCCUCUCAGGUUUGCUGCGCAGCAUCGCAUUUUCGUGCAUUCUUUGCUGAUCCGAGGCUGUAGACAGAGGCUACGAGCUGGAUUUGAAGCUUUCGACAGAUCCGAAGCUAGCGCUUCAAAGGUAUGGAGAGUAUUUGUACGACGCUCUCGUGAUUUUCUCUCCUUCGGUCGAAAGUAAGCAUUGCAAAGAUCUGUGUGAAAGUAGAAAUAUCGCCUCACGUUUUUUGUUUGUUCGUGAAGAAUUGGGUGGCUCGCUCACGAGCGAGGCAGUGCUUGACUUUGUGGACUCGGGACAUGACUUGAUUUUGGCUGCGAAUUCCACCACCUCGCAGUUUAUUCGCAACCUGGCUGCUGAAUGUGGAGUAGAGUUUGAAGAGGUACGUGAAGCUUUGUGAAUUUAGCAUUCUGGAAAAUUCAUCUCGUCAUUUUCAGGAUUUCGAUUCCGUUGUGAUAGACCAUCUGAGUUUUGAUGAUGCACGCGAUGCCAAAGACCACAGUUUGCUUGCAACGAAGAGCCUUAUCAAAUCUAAGGUCAUUCUUGGUGCCAAGGAAAUUCAGGUAUCAAGGAAUAGCUCUUUUUUGUAAGGUGCUUACUGUCCAACAAAUACUUCUGCUAGGCUCCCAUUCUCUACCGUGGCAUAGGGCAUGUAGUGAGUCCCGCGAAUAGCCUGGUGAGUGUCCUUUCUGCUAGUUUCAACAUAUUGUUCAUCUAGAAUUCCAGGCUAUAAAGGUGUUGACUGCAUCGUCCUCAGCGUAUUCAGCGAAUCCGAAUGCUGUAUUGGCGAGUCCUCCUGCUCUUACUGGCACAAGUAUCGGACUGGUCUCUGUUGUCCAGGUAUGCAUUGUAUUCAUUUCUUCUGCUUCUUUUCAUUUUUUUAAUUUUUCCUUGCAGGCUAGAAACAAUGCACGCAUCUUAAUAUCGGGGUCCUUGGACAUGUUCAGCGACAAGUGAGCAUUGUUUGCUUCUCUAAAUUUGGUUGUGACUGGUGAGCUUGUCUUCAUGCAGUUUCAUCAAUUCGCCUGUUCGAAUCACUGGAAGUACAGAGAGGUCUGAGCUCCAGUCUGAUGAUUCAUUUCUAAAGUUUCGUGUUUAUUUUAGGUUCGAUAAAUCAGGCAACCAGGAGUUCGUUGAUGAGCUGAGCAAGUGGGUGUUUCAUGAAAGAGGCCACUUAAAGGUGAUCCUAAAAACGCAGGACUAUUUUGGCGCUAACCUCCCAUUCUCCAGGCUGUAAAUCUACAACAUCACAAAGUUGGAGAGAGCGGCGAGCCUUCGAUGUACAGAAUCACCGACCAUCUUGUGGGUUAAGCAAGUUGACUGAAUGCGUAGCUCUUACUCUUUGCUUUCUGUGUGACGCAGGAAUUUUCUCUCGAGAUUUACGAAUGGACGGGCAAAAACUGGCAGCCAUACCAAGCAGAUGACGUCCAAGUGGAGUUCUACAUGAUGAGCCCUUAUGUACUCAAGACAUUGAAUCACAACGGGAAGGUGCUGUAAGAACUGGACUGAGUUAUGGAUUUAUCAGCUGUGUGGCAAUGCAGGGUAAAUACGAGACAUCCUUUCAAGUCCCGGACGUCUAUGGAGUAUUCCAAUUCAAGGUUGAUUAUAAGAGACUCGGCUACACCACUCUGGACCUGAGCAAGCAGGUAAAUAGACUUGAAGACAUUCAAAUGUGGUACUAAAUGCGUGCCCAUGCAGAUCCCUGUGAGACCUUCUCGUCAUAACGAGUACGAAAGGUUCAUCAAGGCUGCAUACCCUUACUACGGGGGCGCGUUUUCAAUGGUACAUAUAUUACGGUGGUUGCUUGUUUGGUGGAUGAUCUGAUUCUUGUUAUUACAGAUGGCAGGCUUUUUUGUUUUCGGCAUUGCCUUCUUGUAUCACAAGUAGGAACUGACUACAGACCGGUGUAGUGUUUCACAAGUCGUGAGCUAAAUUAUGAAGAAGGAUCUGUCAAAGUCGCUAUAUUCUGCUUAUGCUUCUUGUUGGGGUUUUUGUCGAACAGUAUCCAGUGUAGCAGCGGUGGAGCCAUGUGCAAAUCUAGUGGCCCCGUGAGCCUUUCAUGUUGGGCCAUCUCUCCCAGGCAAGCGUAUGCUUUUCUUUUCAUUCUCUCUCUCUCUCUCUCUCUCGUGGACUAACUUAGUCCAGUUUUUAAGGACGGGACAUUUGGGUGGAGUGAGAUUCAAGCAUAGGACGCGUCCCAAUAGGAGACAUUUCAUGUCAACGUCAGGGGGGAAAAGCAAAUGAAAAGCGCCUGGGAGAUUGGCAGGAAGGUCUUAAAAGCCGCAAAGUGGGAAGAUUUCCCACAAAAACCACACCGACAUCCUCCCCCUCUUACUGCAUCUGAUCCUACUGGUAAAGGAGUUCACUCGAUAUUCACUUUCUGAUUUUUCUCCUUUUCAUUUUCCAGCGGGACCGUCUGCCACCGAAACGUAGGAGCGACACGACACUACACUACAGUAGUACAGCAGCACAGACAGUUUUUGUUUUCCCGGAUCGGCUUUGAUCCUCCUGGAGGGGUAAGAGUAACCUCUGGUUUGAUGUGACGCGCGUUGUAUUCCAGGCGAAGUCAAGCGAUGCUUUCUCGUUGCAACUGACUCCUGGCCGGGCUGCCAAAAUGCCAUAUGGGUGGGGACACCGCGCCACGACACUUUAAAUGGUACAUUAACGUAAAUCGUUCUCGAGCGUGGAAAGAGAGCUCGAUAACAAAACAGACAAAGCUCCAAGUUUAUGGACUUGCGCGCUUGUCAAUGGGGUGUUUUUAUUGGCAGCCAAAGACGAACACAAGCAAAGAAAGCGAAGCAAAGAAAGGGGCUGUGUGAGAGGGACAAGCAAAGAUGUAGACGGGCACCACUAGUCGCACAGGCAAAGCAAAGAGAGGAAAAAAAAAACAAUGGGGCAUGCAACACAGCAGGGACAGCAAUGAAGUUGAUAAUUGAAAGCAAAAAAGAAAGAGGAGGACAAGCUGGCUGUCACAAACCAACAUAUAAGCCUUGUGCACCACCCUUUUUUUCCACACAAACAGUGGGGUUGGGGGGUAAACCCCGGGCAGGCCCACGCUGCCCGCCGUUAGCUGACGGCGCUAGGGCAUGCCAGGCUGGCGCGAACCCGCGUAAACCCUAAAGCAAGAUUUAGCUUUGACCCGGGGUGCGAUCAUAAUCGUAAUAGUGAUUUUCCACGUGUCAUGAGCGUCAGAUUGCCUUGUAUCGCAAACUUUUCCAGGACAUCAUGUCAUACGUUAGUAGUGGCCGCCACACGGCGGGGGAUAUUCCCGCCACCUACUCUGGGGAAUCUGCCCGCCACCUGGCCUUUGGCGGGCUCGGGUUACGGAGGCCACCUAUUCCGCUCCCGAGCUAGCUGUCCGGCCCGCUGCCCGCGGGCAGCCGGGCACGUGCGCGGGAGAGGGAUAUUCCGGCUGCGUGGGGGAUAUUCUGGCGGCGGAGACCUUCAUUUUUUUGGGCAUGGCGAAUGAUGGGGAGCUCUCGUGUGCCUGGUAGUGAGAGUGUGCGCGUUUUAGCGUUUUUUGUGGUGGCUCGCGAGGGCGAGGGCAUGCAGCGUGACCGCGCGGCCCAGGGCACAGCGAUCUCGCGAGGUUGGAGGCGCGGCAUUGUGAAGAUCGCCGCUGGGAGCUUUUGUCUCGCGUGAAUGCGGGGCCGCAUUUGCACGGCGCCAGCAGCAGGAGCGGGAUUUCGGCCCCGAUUCGUCGUCGCCACGGCAGCGCCGCCGCGAAUCCAUCGCGGGGGAGGAGUGAUCGGGUGAUAUUUCGAUCCGGGGGGGUUUUUGGCGGCCAAUGGAGGCGAGCGCGGGAUUAGUCGCGGGGUCGCACAAUCGCAACGAGCUGGUGGUCAUCCGGCAGGAAGGAGACGGGGUACGCCAAAAUCUCCUCUCCUUGCUCGAGAUUUCUUUCUUUUCUCUCGAAUUUCGCGCAUCUGGCCGGGAAUCCUAGGCCUGGGCGGCCAGGCCUCGGGCUCUCGGGCCUUUUCGCGCAAUCUCUCUUUUCUUUUGUUUUGUUCUUGGUGGUUGGCCUCGUUGGAUGAUGUUGGUGGAUUUAUUUGCUCAAUGCAGGUGAAGCCAUUGAAGCACCUCAACGGCCAAGUCUGCCAAAUCUGUGGGGAUGACGUCGGGUGUACAGUCGAUGGCGAGCUCUUCGUUGCGUGCAACGAGUGUGCCUUCCCGGUGUGUCGCCCUUGCUACGAGUACGAGCGCAAGGAUGGGAACCAGUCGUGCCCCCAGUGUAAAACGCGAUACCGGCGCCACAAAGGUAAAGAGCUAGCGUGAUCUUUGCUCGGGUUCGCAGGAGCUGUGGCUUACUGGGUUUUCCUUUUCCUGUUGGGCGAAUGCAGGUAGCCCUCGCGUCGAGGGAGACGAGGACGAGGACGAUGUUGACGAUCUCGAGAACGAGUUUAAUUUCAAUGAGGAUCGCCAGGAGAGGCAGCAGCACAUUGCCGAGGCAAUGCUGCAUGGGCACAUGAGCUAUGGGCGCGGGGACGAGCAGGACUUGCCGCCGGAUAUGAUGCAGCCCAUCCAGCCAAGGCAUCCUCUACUCACCAACGGAGAGAUGGUAACUUUCUGCCUAGCUUUUUCUGUGGCUUUCACUUUUUUUUUCUUUUCUCCUUUUUCUGCUAGAUUACAUGCAAACUCACCACUCUCUUUUGUCUUUUUACCAGUUUUCUGGAGAGCUCCAUGGAAUUCCUCCCGACCAUCAUGCAAUCGUUGUGCCACCUAUGCUCGGUGGAAAACGCGUACACCCUCUUCCUUACAUCGAUCCGAACCUUCAAGGUUGGUGUUAACGAUGAUAUGGCACACGCACGCUGUAUUAAACGAUAUAUUUGUUUUGUCGUCACAGUUCAACCCAGAUCCAUGAUGGAUCCUGAUAAGGAUCUGGCAUCUUAUGGCUAUGGAAGCGUGGCCUGGAAAGAGAGGUUGGAGAGCUGGAAGCUAAAGCAGCAGAAAAUGCAAAUGAUGAUGACUGAAGGCAACCAAGGAGAUGGAAAGGGAGGAGACCAUGGUGACGAUGGGAAUGGACCCGACCUACCAAUGUACGUCGUUUUGCUUUUUGCCUCAUCUUGCUAAUGGUUUUAUGUUUCUGUAGAAUGGACGAGGCGAGACAGCCUCUUUCAAGAAAGGUUCCAAUCCCCUCGAGUAGGAUCAAUCCUUACAGAAUGAUUAUAGUCAUUCGUCUGGUGAUCCUGGGAUUCUUCUUCCGUUAUAGAAUUAUGAAUCCCGUGCGAGAUGCAUACCCCUUGUGGUUGACGUCGAUCAUUUGCGAGAUCUGGUUCGCGUUGUCUUGGAUUCUUGAUCAGUUUCCAAAAUGGCUUCCAAUCGAACGAGAGACGUACCUGGACAGACUUUCUUUGAGGUAGGCGCGUUAGUAUAUACAUUGCCAUUGAUGUUGAUUUUAAUGGCGUGGGUUUCAGAUAUGAGAAAGAUGGGGAGCCAUCGCAACUCGCUUCUGUCGAUGUCUACGUCAGUACUGUGGAUCCGAUGAAAGAGCCGCCGUUAGUCACGGCGAACACCGUUCUUUCGAUCUUGUCAGUUGAUUAUCCCGUCGACAAGGUUUCUUGCUACGUUUCAGACGAUGGUGCUGCAAUGUUGACAUUCGAGGCGCUCUCUGAAACUUCCGAGUUUGCCCGCAAGUGGGUGCCGUUUUGCAAGAAGUUCAACAUUGAGCCUCGGGCACCCGAAUGGUACUUUGCGCAAAAGAUUGAUUAUUUGAAGGAUAAAGUCCAACCGAGUUUUGUAAAAGAAAGACGCGCCAUGAAGGUAUGUAUAUGCACUUCGUGUUUCUAUUUCCUAAUAGUGAACAUGCAGAGGGAGUACGAGGAGUUUAAAGUUCGCAUCAAUGCUCUGGUUGCAAAGGCGCAAAAAGUUCCAGAGGAGGGAUGGACGAUGCAAGAUGGGACUCCGUGGCCUGGAAACAAUACGCGCGAUCAUCCGGGCAUGAUUCAGGUACGUAUUUCCUCAUUUCUGUCAGGACCGAUAAAGAACGAGUGUUUGCAGGUGUUCUUGGGUCAUAGUGGUGGUCAUGACACGGAAGGAAAUGAGUUACCUCGCCUGGUGUAUGUUUCUCGUGAGAAGCGCCCUGGGUUUAACCAUCACAAAAAGGCCGGUGCUAUGAAUGCCUUGGUACGGUUUCUAUACUCUGAUCUUUUAUGUUUUUGUUGACAAUCAACUUCUCCAGGUGCGAGUGUCUGCGGUGCUAACGAAUGCUCCAUAUUUUCUUAACUUGGAUUGCGAUCACUACAUAAACAACAGCAAGGCUGUGAGAGAGGCUAUGUGCUUUAUGAUGGAUCCAACACUAGGGAGGAAGGUUUGCUACGUGCAGUUUCCUCAGAGGUUUGAUGGUAUUGAUCGUCACGAUCGAUACGCUAACCGCAACACCGUCUUCUUUGACGUAAGACUACUAAACGUUAGGUGUUUACACUUGCUGACUCUGUGAUUUUUCAGAUUAACAUGAAAGGUCUCGACGGCAUUCAGGGCCCCGUAUACGUGGGUACAGGUUGCGUCUUCCGAAGACAAUCGCUUUAUGGUUACGAGGCACCUGCUGGAGAGAAAGAGAAGGAAGCGGCCAGUACUUGUGAUUGCUGUCCCGGAUUUUGUUGUGGGAAGCGGAAGAAGACCAAGAAGCAAAAAGUGAAGAAGAUGGAGAAGAGAAUGAUGUCUACCAGGAGUGAUUCGUCCGUCCCAAUCUUCAACCUCGAUGACAUAGAAGAAGGAUUUGAAGGUAAACAGUUUACUCAGGUGUUUUUCUUUUUUCGUAACUCUUUUUUUCAUUUCAGGAUUUGAUGAAGAGAAAUCGACGCUAAUGUCUCAAAAGAAUUUUGAAAAGCGGUUUGGUCAAUCUCCUGUUUUUAUCGCAUCAACACUUUUGGAGCACGGAGGUGUUCCUCAGUCGGCGAGCCCCGCCUCCCUUUUGAAAGAAGCCAUUCACGUGAUUAGUUGUGGUUACGAAGACAAAACCGAGUGGGGAAAAGAGGUAACGCAAUGCAGGUUCAGAGACAUUCCUCACACAUUUAUGUAACUGUUUCAGAUUGGAUGGAUUUACGGCUCAGUCACGGAAGAUAUCUUGACUGGUUUCAAGAUGCACGCUCGUGGUUGGAGAUCAAUCUACUGCAUGCCUCAACGAGCUGCAUUCAAGGGAUCCGCACCUAUCAACUUGUCCGAUCGUCUCAACCAGGUGCUCCGGUGGGCUUUGGGGUCCGUUGAGAUCUUCCUGAGCAGGCAUUGUCCCCUGUGGUAUGGCUACGGUGGCCGGCUGAAAUGGCUCGAGAGAUUUGCGUACAUCAACACGACGGUCUAUCCUCUCACGUCCAUUCCUCUCGUGGCCUACUGCACGCUUCCAGCAGUCUGUUUGCUCACCGGAAAGUUCAUCAUCCCAGAGGUACGUACGAAGCUUUGUUACAAGUUUCUUGGAGCUCACAUCGUCUCCUUUUUGACACGUCCAGAUAAGCAACUUCGCCAGCUUGUGGUUCAUCUCCAUGUUCGUGUCCAUCUUCGCCACGGCCAUUCUGGAGAUGCGGUGGAGCAACGUCGGCAUCGAGGAGUGGUGGAGGAACGAGCAGUUCUGGGUCAUCGGCGGCGUCUCGUCCCACCUCUUCGCGGUGUUCCAGGGCCUGCUCAAAGUCCUCGCCGGUAUCGACACCAACUUCACGGUGACGUCCAAGGCCACGGACGACGAGGAGUUUGGCGAGCUCUACACACUCAAGUGGACGACGCUGCUCGUCCCCCCGACGACGCUGCUUAUCAUCAACCUGGUGGGAGUGGUGGCCGGUUUGGCGGACGCCAUCAACAGCGGGUACCAGUCGUGGGGGCCGCUGUUCGGGAAGCUGUUCUUCGCGUUCUGGGUGAUCGUCCACUUGUAUCCGUUCCUCAAGGGGCUCAUGGGACGGCAAAACAGGACGCCCACCAUCGUCAUCGUCUGGUCGAUCCUGCUGGCUUCGAUCUUCUCGCUUCUUUGGGUGAGGAUCGAUCCAUUCUUGCCGAAGACCCAGGGGCCUCACUUGCAACAGUGUGGAUUGAACUGCUAGCUACCACGGUACCCAUUUUUCGUUCGGUUUUUUAUUUUUCUUUCUUUCUUCUUUUUCUCUCUUUUAUUUCUUUUCUUUUUUUUUUCUCGUCUUUUUGGAUUGAAUCUGGCAGGAGCUACCGAAGAAAAAAAAAAUGGUGGUGAGAAAGUAAAAAAUUGUACAUUAGUUCUCUUUUUAGCGACCACAACCAAGUCGAGCGGUUUUAUUCUUUUGCUUUCCACGUUUCCCGGAAGAACACGAGUGCUGCAAGGAGAGGUUUUAGGGUUUAGGGAUUUGGAUGGAAGGAGGAGGAGUGGAGGUGGAGGAGAGGGCGAGCGUGAAGCAGUGCCGCAAGCUGCUGUACAGGAGCAUGCGCAUCGGCGUUGCGGACGGGCGGAUUUUCGUGGGUAAGUUCCACUGCCUGGACAAGCAAGGGAAUAUCAUCCUCUACGACACGCUGGAGCAGCGGCAGGGCGCGGGCACGGAGCCUCGGAGCCUGGGAUUAGUUCUCAUCCCCACGCAUUGCCGCGUUUCUUGCCAUGUCGAGUGCUCGCUGGGGGAAAAUCUCUCGGGGCUCUCUUUGAACUAAAGUCCCCUCUUUCUUUCUUCUUCGUUUCACUCUCUUUUAUUCGAUCUUUUCCUCUUGCUACUUUUAUUUCCAUCGCUUUGGAGUGUGUUUUUAGCCUCUGCUGGGUUGCCUUUUGCAGCGCUGUGCUACUAGACCAUGGAGAAGAGAAAGAGAAAGAGUGUCUCGUUUUACAGCUCGCAGCAGUGGGACAAGCAGCGCGCCAAGCGAUCCCGCAACGACGAUGACGAGUUUUAUGAGGUGGAAUCCAUCCAGCAGAUGAGGCUUUUCGAGGUUCGAGCUGUUCCUUUGGUUCUUCUUUCGCUCAAGAUGCUUGCUCUGUUUUCUUUGCAGGGAAAACUCCAUUACUACAUAAAAUGGUGUGCUUUCUUCGCUCUAUGUUUUUUUCUUAAAGGUUUUCUUUCGCUGCAGGAAGGGAUAUCCAGAGGAGUUCAAUACUUGGGAGCCGCACAAGCACCUAGCGAAUUGCCCCCAGGCCCUCAAGGACUUCGAGCGGAGGUAAGAGCGUCAUUUCCUCUCAUGACAAAUGAAACAAUCGCUUCUUUUUUUUCUUGUAGUCAGCAAGCUUUGGUAGCAGCUGAAGUGAAAGCUGAGGUGAAAGCUGAAGUGGAAGGCGAGAAGGCCCUGCCUCCAUUGCUAGCUGCAAAGCCACACCAGGACCUUGGAAGCCCGAGUUUGCAGUCCACUGUUGCGAAUCACGUCGCGGUGGAAAAAAUUCUCAAGGCAAUGAGCUACUCCACGAGAGAACUCAGCAACGGGGAGAAGGAUCUCAAUGUGACCUUCAAGGUUCUACGGUAAGACUGGCCUUUGUUUCUAGGCUUUUCUCUUGAGCUUGUUCGCUUUGUUUCGCCCUGUAGGUCCGAUGGCGAGGAGAUUCUACUGGAUAACAAGUACCUGCGCGAAAAUUAUCCCCAGCUGGUAGUUUUCAUUCUUUUUUUUCUCCUUUCGUGUUUUAUCAUGAAUUUGCAGCUUCUGGAUUUCUACGAACAGCGUGUGAGGAACGUCCGGCAAUGAGAGACUGGGGAUAGUGUACAUAAUUUCUUUUUCCAACUUAGAGCUAGAGUACUUGCGGACGAGAUGCUAAAGCUUGGGACAAACUCUUUUGAGUUACUCAUGGAAAUUUUGAAGUUUACUAUCGCAGAAGAAACAAAUGAUUUAUGAAUAUUUAAGUGUCAAUAAGUUUCGAGAAACUGCAGCUACAAAACAUUGGAGAGGAUCAUGGCUGCGAAAAACACCAAAACAAUGUAUUUUAGUAAUCACAGUGACGAUUAUUGCAUACGUACAGCAACGAGAUCCUCCUCGUGCUUGGGAAUGAAAGCUGUGUCAACCUUUCCGUCCUUAAAGUCCUAUGUAACCAGAGUGAAAGAGAUCAUGAGAAAAGAGAACAUCGGAAGGCAAGAAAGAAGAUAAGUCACCUGAAUCUCCAGGAUAAGCUUGUGAUAGUCAAUUGUAGUCGGGACCCCUGAGCAAAGCCACACUCUUAAUAGAAACAAAUCGAUUUGAGAAGGAAUAAAAGUACCUGUGAUUAUGGUGUCUUGCAACGCUCGCUGCAUGCGAGCAAUAGCUCUCUCCCGUGUUGGUGCCCAGACGAUCAGCUAUAAAGAAAAGUUUUAACCGAGGCUUAGGAGAAAGCAUAGCAAACCUUUCCGAGGAGAGAAUCAUAGGUGGGAGGAACAACAUAGUCUGGAUAGAGGUGGCUAUCCAUUCUCACGAAGGGGCCUCCUGGAGGAACGUAGCCUGUUAUACGGCCUGUGGAUGGAUGGUUAGUCUUAGGACAAGCGUUAUGAAGUUUCAAUGUCUUACCUGGUCCAGGCCGGAAGUUUUGAAAGGCAUCCUCUGCAUUGAUUCGGCAUUCGAUAGAGUGGCCCUUCAAGACAAUAUCUUCCUAAACAUCAAGAAAAACAUUUAUGAAAUGACAAUUUCAUGGAUGAACGUAAGAACGCGUCUACCUGUUUGUAUCGAAGUUCCUCCCCCAGAGCAACUCGAAUUUGCUCCUCGAUGAGAUCAGUAGAGGAGAUGAGCUCCGUGACGGGAUGCUCGACCUGUGAAGAAGCAAAAGACAUAAGAAAGGUGAAGAGCUAGAGAGUUGCCUCACCUGGAUACGUGUGUUCAUCUCCAUGAAGUAGAAGGAUCCACUCUCGUCCAGCAAAAACUCAAUGGUUCCAACGCCAACGUAACCAAUGGAUGCAGCAGCAGCCACCGCCGCAUCUCCCAUGGCCUUGCGCAGCUCUGGUGUUAGAGCCGGCGAUGGUGCCUCCUCCAAAAGCUUUUGGUUUCUCCUCUGUAAUAACAAUCCUCAAAACUGGAAACAAAAGAAAAAAAAAGAUUAAUUCUACCUGAAUGCUGCAAUCCCUUUCCCCAAGGUGUAUACAAUUUCCAUGCUUGUCCGCGAGGACCUGGAAUUCGAUGUGCCGGGGAUUCUUGAUGUACCUCUCCAGGUACACUCCAUCGUUGCCAAAUGCAGCUCCCGCUUCGCUGCGAGCUUGCUAAGAAAAUGAAAGAAAAUAAAAAAUUAGAUCUAACACUAGAUUGAUUUCCACGAACCUGCAAAAGCUUGACAAACUCUUCGGGUUCAUUUGCUAGUCGCAUACCACGACCACCACCGCCAGCCGUAGCCUAUGAUAACUCCAAGAGAUCAGAAAAAUGAAAAAACAAAAGGACAAGACAUUCAACCUUGAUCAUGACUGGGAAACCAAUCUCGUGAGCGAGACGAAUGGCUUCUUCGGUAGUCUGGAAAACAACAGCGACAAAGCUGAGAAAGAAACCAAAGGUAGAAACAAGAAAUUUACCUCGACCAGGCCAUCACUUCCAGGAACAGUGGGAACCCCGGCCUUUUUCAUCGUGUCUCGAGCAGUAGCCUUGUCUCCCAUUGUUCGAAUGCUAUCAGACUGCAAAGCACAAGAAAGAAAGGGAUGAAAAUCAACUUGCGACCUUUCAUCCAUCCCUAAAGCAAAUGCUUACGUUUGGGCCGAUGAAGUUCAAGCCGUGAUCUUUGCACAUAUCCACGAACUUCGCAUUCUCGGACAAGAACCCGUAUCCGGGAUGGAGCAUGGUACAAUUGCGGGUCAUGGCGGCGGACAGCAGAUUUGGAAUGUUCAGGUAGCUGCAUGUCAAAAGUUAGCUGUGGACUUUGGAGAAAAAGUUGAAAGAAAGAGAAGGAAAAAAGAGAUUUUGGGAAGGAAAGCUUCGCGGAGAAAGGAAAAUGUGACUUACGAUUUGGCACUGGCUGGCUCGCCGAUACACACGGCCUCGUCCGCGAGCUCGACAUGCAGCGAGUCCCUGUCGACGGUGGAGUGGACGGCAACGCAGGGAAUUCCCAUCUCGUGCGCCGUCCGGAUCACACGCACCGCGAUCUCGCCCCUGUUGGCCACCAAAAUCUUCUCCUGGUCAUAGCUGCAAGUCACGCCCCCCCGAGAGCCGGAAUUUGCCGCUCUCACGGACACAUUCCUGGCGCAUCCUCCCCGGGCGCGGAAUCUGUGAGGCAGGCACAGCGCAGCCGAGAGCGAUCCCGCGAGCGACGAUCCACAUUCCAUGGCUAGAUCCGACCGUGCAAACCCAAAACCCUAACGCGCUCCUCCCUCCACGUCCUUGCUCCAAGAGUCCCCCAGCGGAGCAUACAAAGCUACAUUAUAAAUUCCAAUUCAUAAUGCAUGGACCACUAAUAACAAAUUAGAGUGCUAAUUAAUCCCUACUAACUUAAUCAUUUUACACCAGCGAAAUUUACCGCGCUUAAACUCUCAAAGAAUGUAGGGUUUCUUUCUUCUUCUCUUUGCGCAGCGGCCAUGGUUGCGCCGCGCUGUGGGAUCUCCGCGAUCGAGGCGCCGGCGUCUCCUUCCUCGAGCAAUCAACGAUUUCUCUGGCGCCGAUCGAGGUAUGUGUGGGCGGAGGGGAGAUUUUCUAGUGAUGGAUUUUGGAAAUUUCUAGCUGGGAAGGCAUCGGUUAUGGCAGCAUCGGCAGCAAGAGGCGCCGCAUUUCUUCUCAUGCGAGCGUUUAUGCUGUGUCCGAUUUGCACACCGAUUAUCGAGAGAAUUUGCAGUGGAUCGUGCAGCUGUCGACCAAGUUGCAUCAACGAGAUACUUUGAUCGUGGCGGGCGACGUCUCAGACAACUUGGAGACUUUCAAAGACACUAUGAGGCUGUUGAAGGAAAGGUUUCAUCGCGUCUUCUUUGUUCCUGGGAACCACGAUUUGUGGUGUAGAGGCAAGGAGAACAAGCACGUAAGUACACUUCGUCCUCCUCUUUUUUUUUCGUGGGAGAAAUGAACUAAUUCUUUUCUGGCUUUGCAGCUGGACUCGCUGGGAAAGUUGAGGGAGCUCAAUGCGAUAUGCGAGUCUCUUUGCAUCGACACCAAGCCAGGGAAAGUUUGCGGAGUUUGGAUCGUUCCUCUACUUUCCUGGUAUCACCAGGCAAUCUCCUUCGUAGUUUAGCAGACGUGUUUUGGAUUGACAGUCGAGAAUUCUUCCCCCUGCAGACAUUUGAUAAGGAACGGGACAUAGUCGGCUACAAUAUUCCACCUCCCGAAAAGGCAUGUUAUCCUCUCUUUCAUUGGUUUCAAUAUUUUGUUUGCUUCUCUGCUUCUUCACUUUGAACAUGUUUUCUGACAACACUGUUUGCAUUUGCGGUGCAGCGUUGCACUGAUUAUCAUGCCUGUAAGUGGCCGGACGAGCUCAAGACUCCUGAUAUAGCGCUUGCUGCAUACUUCGAUGAUCUUAACUCUUGCAACCAGCAGUGUCUUACGGAGAUUCGGCACAGCACUGAGCGAGUCAUCACCUUUUCUCACUUCCUUCCCAGGUGCGAGAAAAUGGGGUUGUGUUGUGUGACGUUCUUAGUGCUGUUUGUUGUGAACAGACCAGAGCUUUGCCCAGAGAAAAGAAUGCUUUUCUAUCCAAAUCUUCCAAAGGUGAUAGGAUCAGAUUUCCUGGAACGCAGACUGAGGAGCAUCCAUGGUUCCAGUGGAAAUUCCGGAGCUCUCCAUGUGUUUGGGCACACGCAUUUCAGCUGGGACGCUACCGUGGAUGGAAUCAGGUGAUAAAUUUUGGUCUUCAUUUUGCAUGGCAUUGCUUGCAUUGCACUGGUACGUUAAGCGUGUCGGUUUUCUUGCCCCCCUUCCCUUUUUCCUCCUGGAAGAAAUUUUCUUACACUAACACUGCAUGGUUGCACGAUGCAGGGAGACAUACUAGAGAAAAGAUUAUAAGAAAAGGAGAGAUGACAUGAAAUUGUUUGAUCGUCCUCUACAGGUAUCUACAGGCACCAUUGGCUUAUCCCAGGGAACGUCGAAGGCGAGUUUAUGGUGGUGAAUGCUGGCUGCCACUGUGCAUAUAUGACAGCGAAGGUACUCUUCUUCCGAGACCCAUGCCUUGCUACUGGUCGGACUACUAUCGCUUGAACAAGAGGGAUCCAGACAACGUUGUGCUCGCACCGUGGGUAGCAGACUUAUACUGCUUACAAAAGAGCUGAGAACUCCGAGAGCCAAGCUAGAACGAGGUGAGAUACGCUUCCUUCUCUCCUUGGCCAUAAAUAAUCAGAGGGUUCAUGAAGCAUUGUCAGCACUGGGCUUCACUCAAGCGCACGUACAAGCAAAUGCCCAGAGGCUCAACACCACAGCACCAACAUUCCCAGACAUGGACCCCUUUGUAACUACGGGUUGGCAACACUUACCAGUUUUGGUUUUAUAUGACUUGAACACAAGUAGUUAGAGUCGGUUGGCUGCCGAGCGCAUGGAUAGUUUUCGUGGAGCAGUGGUGUAUCGGCCGUCUCUGAGGCCCACGAUGAAAAUUUGGUGCCUUGUUUAUCUAUGAAGAAUUUGCAAUCAUCUUCAUUGUCACUUAUGCCUUAUCAGAUUUUGAGUUGCAGCUGGAAAGAAGUUGUUCUGAGCAACAACUUCAUGUGAAGCUGAUAUCUGUAUUUUAAGAGGUUGAAGGAGCUCGAUCCUGCAGUUCCAUUUCACGCUAUUAGAAGAUAAACCAAACAAAUUAAAAAGUCUUCGUGGCCUUUCUUCCAUGUUGAAGCAAUCAAAGGUAGCGAAGCUGGUUUCAAUUAUCAAGAAAAUAAUCAGAUGUCUGUCCUAUGCAAAUGCAAUGCAAGAGACUUAAGUUCUAUCAACGAGAUACUCUGGUCAGACAAGCUGAUUCUUUCCUGUUGCUCGGAAACACGGAAUCACGACUUGUGGGUUGGAGGAAAUCGUUCAGACCAAGGAACAAGACUAUUUCAUCCUGUCACCUUUAUAAGGUCGAGCCUUGAUAGGUUUUCAUUAAAGGAAUCAUGAAGGAGAUUGAUAGGAUCCUCAGCUUUGUGGACCUGGCCACACUGUCGAAUUGCUCUGCCGUUUGUAAGUCAUGGAAUAACAUCAUCAGCUCGCCAUCUUUUCGCCAACUAUGGUGCCGCAACGCUGGUGUCAAAGAGGUCCCCCUGAUCAUGACAAGCUCCAUGCACAGCGAGGGAUGCUACACCUUCAGAACUCCUUUGUCAUCUGGCCACAGGCGGGAGCUUCGACUACCCCAUGGUGACGUUGUGGCUUCUGCCGGCGGCCUUGUAUGCAUCCGAGGUAGAGAUUCUGAUGUUCUCCACUUGGUGGUUGGCAAUCCACUCACCCAAGAGUGGACGGAAGUUCCCGCGCUGCAGUGGAAGGACAAAGAAGAGACAGGUAUUAUUGACUUCGCGAUGCUGGUUGAUGGCGAUGCCGGUUACUUCAAGGUGGGUAUCCAGCACUCGGAAGCCACUACAGGCCACUCGUGCUACGUCUACGACUCGGCCACCGGUGCAUGGUCAGCACUGGGCAUGCUGUGCUUGACACAAGCGCACGUACAAGCGAGGGCUCAGUGGCUCAAGACCAGAGCGCUAACAUUCCCAGACAUGGACGCCUUAUACUACGACCUCACCACCUUGGGCAUGUAUGACAUUCGUCGCUGUGAGUGGAGCAUCGGGAGUGUGGUGCGCAACCUCAGGUUCACAACAGGCCUCGAAGGUGGUAAGCAUACGCGCUGCGUUUUGCCGCGGCCAGGCGUGUGCACAUCGAGGUUGUGGGAGUGGGAUGGGCAGCGAUACUUUGCAAGCGGGUGGGUGUAUGCAGGAAGUGUCGAGGACGUGUGUUGUGGAGUGGAUGGAUUUGGUAUCUGGAGAGUUGACGAGGAUGGCAGCUUGGUUACUGUUUCUGCAGUGACUGUGGCCAUUUGUAGUCAAUAUCCUCAGCUCAAGCCAAUUGUACAAUUGCUAGAAGUGGUAACCGCUGCAGAUGCCAACCUUGUAUGCUUCUCGGAGAGAUGUCCGGCAAUGUUGUCAGUUGUGGUUGUAUAUGACUUGCACACAAGUAGUUGGAGUCGGUUGGCUGCCCAGCGCAUGGAUCAUUAUAGUGAAGCAGUGGUGUAUCAACCAUCUCUGAGGCCUGUGAGGAAGCCGUGGCAAAAUCAAGUAUCUGGGUAAUUCUACAAUCCUCUACACUUGUCAAGCACUUUCGAACAACCAUGCCACAUCACUUUUUAGUUUAUUAUUACAUGUUUUAAAGCCCAACUAGAACCAUUCUUCAAUUUUAACAUUGUAAAAAGCACAAGGUAUUGCUCCCACCGCAACUUGGAGGUGAGGCUAUGUCUUUAGUUGGAGAUUAAGCGUUGUUUGUUGUGAACAGACCAGAGCUUUUCCAAAGAAAAGAAUGCCUUUCUAUCCAAAUCUUCCAAAGGUGAUAGGAUCAGAUUUUUUGGAGCGCAGACUAAGCAUUCACGGAUCCAGUAGAAAUUCCGGAGCUUUUCAUGUGUUUGGGCAUACGCAUUUCAGAUGGGAUGCUACAGUGGAUGGAAUCAGGUGAUCACUGAAGAUGGCAACCUUGUCUGCUUUCCAGAGAGAUAUCCAGAUCCAGUUGUGGUUCACAAAUAGAUGGAGUCCGUUGGCUGCCCAGCGCAUGGAUAGUUAUAGUGGAGCAGUGGUGUAUCAACCGCCUGUGAUGAAGCCGUGGGAAAAUCAAAGUUUCUUGGUAAUGGUUUUCAUGUUAGAACUUAUAAAGUUAGGCUAAGUAUUUGCUCGGUCUUGGUUGCACGAGAAAAAAAUACAACAUAAAAUUGUGGUUGGUUUAAACUGUUUGGUUCAAGCCUAUUCCAGAAGAGGUCUCGUUUAGAAAUUGUAGAAGACAAUCCAUCUUAACAAGAUUAAUUAAUUGAUAAUGUGGACGUGCCAGAGUGGUUAUCGGGCAUGACUAGAAAUCAUGUGGGCUUUGCCCGCGCAGGUUCGAAUCCUGCCGUCCACGAAAUCGUUCUUUAAUUUUGAGUAGAGGAUUUGGACGAUGACGCAUGGAACGCAACGAGGAUAUGUCCGUAUUUGAAACUUUCAUGUGAACUAAACUAUAAUGGAAACUCACAUCGGGCAGCUUUUGUGUGAUACCUAUCCUGCGGAGGUGACUGCAUUGAUUUUAGUUUUGUUUCUGCUCACAAUCGUUUAUUACGUGUUUUGCACAGUGCCUCGCAUUCGAGAGAUGAACUUACAAGUCUGCUGCCCGGCGUCUUUUAAAAGAAUAAACUACUUCAUUAGAAGAAAACUUAAAAGUUAAUUUACGAAGACGACGCAUUUGCCCGCGGGGGUGGGAUCCUUUGCGGCUCCCGAACCACGUUGCGAUGACAAGGUGCGAGGGAUCGCCAAGGAGCACCACCUGCCAGCCGCGGCGGAGGCGUGCUACUCCAAUGCCCGGGGAUGUCCAGUGACUUAGGGAUCAAGGCGCUCACGCUCUUCGCCUUCUCCACCGAGAAUUUCUUGCGGCCGGAUGCAGAAAGUUGAUAUAGUUCUCAGCGUCGACGAUCCUGCCACCAUUCUGCUGUGAGUGGAAUUUCUCGAUAUUGUUUUGCUGUGAAUGGAUUGGGUUGACUCAGGUGGGAUUUUUGAUAUCAAUUCCACUGCAUUGGCGACAGUGCCAGGCUCCCGCGCCCGCUCCAAGCUAUGAUCUCGGAAGCGACCAGCGGCAACACGGGGAUGAAAUUCGCCAUGGCGAUUGGUUACGGUGGUCACAGCGAUCUGGUCCAGGCGUGCCAGGCGCUGGCGCGCGAGGUGGAGCAAGGAACAAUGGCUGUGGAGGAGAUCGAUCAGAUCAACCUGGCAAGGAGAUUGAUGCUGGAAUGUUGGCACGCCGGAGCUGCUCGUUUGCACCAGCGGCGGCGAUCAGCGGCUGAAUAUCGCCUACUCGGAGCUCGUGUUUGAAAAGAAGCAGUGACCGGAUGUUAAAGAGGAGUAAAUGGUGGAAUUUCAAGAAAAGUCAAAUAGUUAUAUAUUUGUUAGCCACCUUAAAUGUCUCAAUCUUUUAUAAAAAAAUAUUGAAAGAAAGUUAAUACUUUGUUUCUUACUUCAAGGACUUUAUUUGAUUUUUUAAAUUUUCUUUAAUUGUUACAAUCUGGACUUAGAUUUUGACAUUAGCAUUUACGCUGAACUAUGGUAAUAGUACUGUAAUAUUUAGUAGCUUAUACAUUUUUAUGAAAGUUUGAAUUUUUGUGCAGAUUUUGCAUUAGAAUGCAAUUUUAUAUGGAUUUAUUUAUUAUUUUCUUACCAUGUUAUCUCUUAUCUGAUUUAUAUUCAUUUAUAUUAAAAUUAAGUCUUGCUGGAAAAGUUAGCAUGGAAUGAGAGAGAGAGAGAGAGAGAGAGAGAGAGAGAGAGAGAGAGAGAGAUAAAAAGGCAAAAUGAAAAUGCUCAAUGCUAGAAUGGCUUUCAGUACCUCAAGCAUGUGUAAGUAACAAUAUCCUCAGCUUCCAAGGCUAUUAAGAUGUGUAAAAGGUGGUGAGAGUAUUCUUGUUGUGACCAUGAACAUUACUGGCAAGAUGUAUGGAUUAAUGGAAGUUAUAAACUCAAUCGUCAUGGUUUUCACACCGUUUUCAUCACCACGAGAAUAUGGUAAAGACUAUGGCAUCACUAAAUUUGAUUUGGCAUCCAUUCAGUCCGGUCAUCUCCAAAUUUUGGAGGAAUUGAGUGCAAACUUGCUCAAUCAGUGCACGUAAAAAAAUUAAGAUUAACAAAAGUGGGAUGUAUCUAACACUUUCUGCCCCAUAAACUUUCUCUAAUUCGAUUAAGUUUUGUAAUUUUACUAGAAUGCGAACCUCCAUGCCUCUCCUAUGCAACUACCCGAAGGAACUGCUCCCGCUAAAGUCUGAUAAUUUGAUUGAAAUGAGUGAAAGCUACACUGAUUAUGCCCAGUUUUUAUAGAGAUAAUCUCAAACUUGGAGGAUUCUGCCUUAAAAAAGCGUGCAACCAGGUACCAAAACAUUACAAUUUUUUUUUACCUCUUAACUGGUAUAUAAAGGGAUCUCUGAAAUGGAAGUUGAUCAAGAUGUUUUAAAGCUCAACACGAACCGCAACAAUGGCUAGAUUGAUGUUGCAUUGGAUGAGCUUGACUGUGUCUACUUUUAUUACUUUUCUCGGUGUGGCAGCUAACCCAAUAUCUAAUAAUACAUUAAAAGAAAUUAUCAGAGCGAAACCCAAUUGCCACCAAUGUUUAAAGCUAAAGAAUGUAGGGUUUUUUCUUUAGUGCCAGCGCGCCGGGAUCGGGAAGCGGCGCCGAAGAAGGUAUGGUUUUCGAUCAGUGGAAGAAAAUAGAAAUUGACCUCGCAAUGUCAGCAGGAAGAGGCGCCGCCGCAUUCCUUCUUACCAGGUGAGCGGCGCGAGGGUUUAUAUAGUAUCGAUGAAACGAGGUACUUUGAUUGAUGUCUCGGACAGGCUGAUUUUUUUCGGGUCUUCUUGGUUGCUGGGAAUGAGGACUUAUGCAAGAAGCACAAACACGUAAGUGCAUCUUUCUCUGUGAGAGGAAUGGAGAUUAAUUCUUUGGCUUUGUAGCUGGACUUUUCCUCCAGUGUGAUCAUGAUGUUGGGAUGAAAAGAAACACCACAAAGAGAAACAAACCUUGCUGGCAAAGGUGAGCGAGCUCUGUGAGUACUUUGCGUCGACACCAAGCCAUGGAAAGCUUGUGAUAUUUGGAUCGUUCCUCAACUUUCCUGGAUACCACUAGGCACUCUUUUCUGUAUUUGCGCAGACGUGCUUUGGAUUGACACUCGACAAUUCUUCCUACUGCAGACUUUUGACAAAGAAAUCGGCUCACAACAUUCCACCUCUCGAGAAGGCACGUUAUCCUCUUUCCUUUUUUUUUUUCCCGCUUCUUUUCUAUCUUCUUUGUUUUUGUUUUUGUUUUUCUAUUCUAUCUAUGCGGCUCUUCGUUUGAACACGUUUCCUGACAACAUUGUUUGCAUGUGUGGUGCAGACUUGUAUUGAUUGUCAUGCCGGACGAGCUCAGAAUUCCGGAUACUUCGACAACCUUAGCUCUCUUAACGGAGAUUUGGCACACUACUACUGGCCGGGUCAUCUCGUUUUCUCACUUCUUCCCAAAGUAUGCCUCGUACGGCUCUAGAAAUCCGCUCCCGGGAAACGGGGUUGUGUUGUCUGACGUUUGAGUGUUCUUUGUUGUGUGCAGGCCAGAGCUGUGACCAGAGAAAGGGAAUACUUUUCGAUCGAAAUCUUCCAGAGGUGAUAGGAUCAGAUUUCCUGGAGGAGCAUCCAUGGGUCCAGUGGAAAUUCCGGAGCUCGCCAUGUGUUUUCGCAAGCUGGGACGCUGCAGUGUAUGGAAUCAGGUGAUUAUUAGCUCCUAAUAUCUGGCAUUCAUUUGCAUGGCACUGCUUGCAGGACUGAUACGUUAGCAACAGUUGCUUCGGCUUUUCAUCCUUUUUUUUUUCUCAGUGAAAGGAGCACUGACAUCAAUGCAGGGAGACAGACAGAGAUACUCCGAGAAAAGAAUAUAACAUGAAAUGUGGUUAGUCUUUUUAAACAGUUUGGUCUAAGCCUACUUAGUGCUGGUCGCCUUCUGCAGGUGUCUUCGGAGAACUUCGAAGGCGAAUUUAUGGCUGCCACUGUGCAUGUAUAUGACAGCGAAGGUACUUUUCUUCGGAGGCCCAUGCCUUGCCACUUGCCGCUAGUAAUCGGACUACUAUCGCUUUAACGAGAAAAAUCCGGACAGCGUUGUGCUCGCACCGUGGGCCGCAGACUUGCACGAUUCCCAACGGAGAUGGAAAUUCCGAGAGCCAUAACUUCCGAGCUCCAACAGCGGGCACUCCCAAUCAUGGAGGAGAUCUUUAUAAACUAUCUUCUGGGAGACUAAACUACUGCGAGGACAGCAAAACAAAGGCGAGGCCGGUGACUGUGCUCGUGUCUUAAACGCGCUUGGAUGGAGGAGAGAAGAAAAAGAGAAGGAAAAUCCAGUUGAUCGACCGCUUGGACGCAUCCUCGGAAGCAUUUGCUCGUUUUGAGUUCCCGAGGGGAUCAUCUGGCUGGUUGCAACUUGGAGGUGAGGCUUUUAAAUCGUUUUCUAGCAGGCGUACAGCGGAAAGGAUGAUCUCACCAAAGCUCAUCAUCCUGAGGUAAAGUAAUGCUUCUUGUUUUUCUUCUCCGCCUUUUGCCUGCUUUGUUUUUUGUCUGUUUCAUUGUCUAAACUCGCGCUUGAUUCUAUCUCUCUCUCUCUUGUUUCGUUGCAGCCCAGCUGCUCGCCACGGAUCAAUCAAUCAAUCAAUCAUUCAGUCGGUCAAGUCACUCGCUCGAACCAAUCCGUCGAUCGGUCGCCCAAGAGCUGCUGCUUGCAAACUCUGGAAAGUCGGAGAGGGAUGAGCUGAUCUUCCGUUCCGUUAAAGCUGGAGAUCCAAUAAUUGGUCAAAGAGUUAACUUAUCGAUCGUCCUUCUCUCAUCGCAGGGAAGAUAGAAAGAAAUAAAGUCUCCUUUGCGCGGCAAGACAUUGAUAUGGAUCGAAGUGACGAGAGAAAAGCUUAUUGCGAGUACUUGAAUAGCGCUGCAGGCGUUCUCACAUGGUGCAUGGUCCCAUACGUAGCUAAAACAAGCAUAUUCCUCCAUGCAGCGUGGCAUAUGCCUCCAAAGUUUUUGCCGCACAUGGAAAACUUGUAUUUUUCUAUUUCCAGAGAUUUCAUUGGCUGGGACCUGGCCGCAUUAAAUGCCACUUGACCCAGCUAGCCUUGCAAAGCCCAGACAACCCGCCGGAUAAAGCGUCCGUCCAACGGUCCUGGAGCGUGUAGAGACAGCGACCGCGGCACGGACCGACAGGAAUUCUCGGCGCAAUACCACGUGGCCGCCACGUUGGCGGGCCCCGUCCAUCAAUGCGGCGGAGAGUCCACGCUGUACGCUUGCAACGUGGCAAGUUUUUAGGGCACGAGUCUUUUAAUUUCUCUCCUCUCCCGAAAGUUUCGUAUCGUAUGAAACCUUGUGUGUGUAUGGAUCGAUAGAGAGAAAAAAGAUGCCAGGGAUUUUUAUAGCAGCGAACAAAGCUCUUCGUGGUCCCGGAAAUCUUUCAUGGAGCCCGUUGGCAUUUGUUUUCACGUACGUCACCCAUCUUAAAUGCGAUUUGGAAAAACAUGGAACAAGAAUUUGGAGAACAUCCAUACAUCUUAUAGUUAUAGUUUUAAUUUCUUGAUCGAUCACACUGUGCGCCUUUUGGCUCUUGUUGUGCUGGCUACACUGGAAAAUCUCCCUGUGAUGAUCGAUGAUCUCACGGGUGUGCCCUAUCUCGCUUUCUCCUUCUUUAGCCUCGUUGGUCUUUAGAGUUUACAUCGUUUUCAUGCUGGUACAUGUUCUAUUUGCUUGUCCGUGCUGGGCGUAAAUCUGUGUUGUCUGACCUCCGUGAUACCCGAGCCAAUCGUGGCCGUCGGCAGGUCGUGGCAUGCUAGCGACCGUCGAUGACGCCUUGUGACGAGGACAUGACGACGGUGCUGAUCAUUUGUUCUUCGAAUUGUGUUGAACUCUAGGCUGGAAUUUGAUCGAUUCCGUGAUCCUGGGUUUUGUAAAUUCCCCAAGUUUGACUUGGAAGCUUUGGUGAUCAGAACAAGGGCUUGUUUAAUCAACGCUCGUUUAUGAGAGUCCAUUCCAAUUUUAAAGGGCGUGGUAUCUACGCCUGAUUUGAUGCCUUGUCUUGUUCGCUCAUUUCGUGAUUGGCUCGCUCGCAAGUUUUGAAAGCAAAAGGAUGACUCCGAAAGAGAUUGGCAUGUGUAUGAAUGAGGUCACGGCCUACUACUUGGGGAUAGGCCGCAUAUUCCAAUCAAUCUACACGAGAAAUGUGUGAUUAAGAAAUCCCGUAAAACAUUGUAAAGCAUAAGCGAUGCGGGUUUACUAGGUUUUCGACGAAGUCAACGGGCCUGUGGAGAAAAAGCUGGCCGGCUCCAGUGCUUGGUCAAACGCCAAGUGGCAUCCAAGGGCCAGGAUGGCACCACGCAGCAGCGCCGGCGAAUAUGCUGGCGCGGGUUUAAAAAGCGCGGCAAAGUGAUUUUUUACCUGGCGAGGCGGUGUCGGUGGUGGCAAUCCACGUCGGUGUUUUUCCCGUGCCACGUCGGCUCGCAGCCAUGUCAUAGCGGACCAGGGGUUCUGUGCAGCCAGAGAGGAGGCGAGAGAGAAAGAAAAGAAAAGAGGGAAGAGUAUUUUCAGCGAUUCCAGCGGCAUCGGCAGCGCGUAGCAUCCCUGACGCCCUACUGACGAAUUCGUGUCCCCGCUGGCGCGAGUCCUUGAAUUCCUGGAGGAAUAACUCCAAAUCUCUCAUUCAUCCCCCAAUCUCCUCCUCCAUCGCUCGCUUGCUCGCUCGCUCGCUCGCGGCCGAUCGAUCACAAGGCCGCCGGGGCCAUGACUCUCGGCGAUUCUUUUCUUGCGUCAGAUUGUCACAGCAGGCCGCGGAGAGGAGGAUCUGCGGGCAUUCCGGGCUGGAUCGACGAAUCUUGCCGCGCAAGAAAGAAAUUCCGGCAUUUGCUAGCUAGUGUGGAUAGAUUAUAACAGCAGCGCGAGCGCGAGCAGGGAAGAAAGGCCGCGGGAUUGUGCGUUAUGAUCCAGAGAAGGAGGAGGGGGGUACAAAGAGGAGUGGCAGCAGCGGCACUGAUGAGUGAUGGGAUUUCGUCGCAGUGACACGAAAAUUGGGCAGCAUUUCCUUCCUCUCCUCGAGACUCCGCUAGAACCCUAAUCCUCCUAGUUUGCUACCAUUUUUUUUUCUCUUUUUUCUAGUCUUCUCUAGUCAAUGCCUAUGAAUUCUCCUUGAUUUCGCUGGUUCUUCCCGGGAUUUAGCUCGCCGCGGCCGAUCCAAGUUGGCGGCCCAGAAUUCCUCCUCCCUGGACGAGGCAUGGGUCGGCAUUCUUGCUGCCAGAAGCAAAAAUUGAAGAAGGGGCUAUGGUCGCCCGAGGAGGACGAGAAAUUGGUACAUUACAUCACGAAAUACGGGCAUGGAUGCUGGAGUACAGUGCCCAAACAAGCAGGUAAUCCACUGCGUUCUUGGUUUUUUCUUGGUGUCACCUCUCUGGAAUUUGGAAUUGGAGGCCGUGGUCUUCUUCUCUUUUGAUCUUCGUAUUGCUUUGUUUCCCUUCCCAAAUGUAGGACCUCCUUUGCUCGAUUGUGAUGAUAUGAUCUUUUUCUCGCAGGAUUGCAGAGAUGUGGCAAGAGCUGCCGAUUGCGAUGGAUCAACUACCUCCGUCCGGAUUUGAAGCGAGGGAUUUUCUCGGCGGACGAGGAGAAACUCAUCAUCGAUUUACACUCGGCCUUGGGCAACCGGUGAGAGCAAAAUUCAGUGGUGAAUUCUCGUGAAUUCUCGUGAAUUCCGCAGCUUUUGAGAAGUUGGCUGAUCGAGCAAUGGAAAUUUCUUGUGUGUUCUUGUCCAGGUGGUCGCAAAUCGCAACUCAGCUCCCCGGACGAACAGACAACGAGAUCAAAAACUACUGGAACACUUGCAUCAAGAAGAAGCUCCGGCAGGCCGGCAUAGAUCCCAACACACACAAGCCAGUGAUCCAGGCGUCGGAGCACGCGAUCAAUCCCGAGAGCUCCUCAAUCUCCAGCUCCAAUCUAAACUCCACAGCCACAACGAUCACAAACACGACGAUUCCGCACGAGACGCACCAUCUGGAUCAACAAUUGGUGGAACCGGCGAGCAAAAGGCCUCGGAUCUAUCCCGCGGUUCUCGAGGACAUUUUGUUCGCGCCGAGGAAUCAAGCGCAGGUGGCGGCGGUGGAUCACAAGAAGCAUCCCUCGGACGAGAUCGCGAGCACGAACAAGCCGGACAAGCUCACCACGGAUAACUUUUUGGGCAAGUUCUUGGAGAGCGCCGGCGGUGACAAUCCAGUGGCGGCGAAGCUCCAGAAGAUGGCGUUGGAUUCGAAUUCUCCCAGCUUGAUCAAGCAGCAGCAGCAGCAGCAGCUCAUCACGGACAAUUUGCUCGAGAAGUUCCUCUCCACCCCCUCCUCGAGAGACGCGAUUCCGCGAAGAAAUCCUCUGCUGGGCGGUGGUGCCAAGCCCGAGUUUAGCUUCCCAUCGCUCCUCCCGGUCCCGAGCAGCAACAAUUACAGCACCAAUCCAGUGUUUUGGGUCUUCCAGCAGCAGCAGCAGCAGCAGGGAAAUCACCUGAAUUCCUCGUCGAUUCCAUCGGCGGGCAUGGAUUUCACGGGCGGAUCGUCCGACUUGCAAUCCUCCUUCUAUGGCGACACGGAUUCCGCGAGUCUAAUGCGCAAUUCGCUGGUCAUGCUCAAUCACCACCACCACCAUCCUCUGGAUCAUCACCGAGGGGGGAAUGGCUGGGAGAAUCUUUGCAGCACUAGCAGCACGAGCAGCACAUCGAGAUCGUCUCAUCCCCAGCAGCCGCUGUGGAAUUACUCGCACAAGCUCGAGAGCUCGGAUGGGUCGUGCGAGAGCCAAUCGCUGGGAGCAGUGUCGGAGCUCCUGCCAGUGUCGUGUGCGAUGCAGGAGUUCUCUGACAGCCACGGCAGCGCGCACAAGGCGUCGCAGGGGAUGAUCUCAUCGUCGUCGGCUGAUCAAGGAGUGGUCUCCUGGGCGGCGCACACGGCGGCUGUGGAUCUGGCGAGCUUUGGGCCGAUGUCGCCCGAAUUGCAGAGACUGGCGGCGGUGAUCGAUCAGAUGUGAAGUGGGUUCUCGCGGGAUUCGGGGAAUUUCCGGCAGGAUUGGAGGAAUUGGAGCCGAGAUCGACAGUGCUCUGUUUUCUCCCAAAACAGAGGAACUCACUGGAAAAAAUAAGCGAUGGUGGAGGAAGCGAUACGUACAGAGGAUUGGGGGGGCUUUUUUUUUUUUUUUCUUCUUUCGAGGGUUGCUGCUGCGCGUUUCAUCCGCUCCUCGAGGCGAUCGAUCGGGCGAGAAGAGAUUUUGGAGCGAAUGAAACGAGCAGCAAGGGGGCAAUUCUUUCAUUUCAUGGUUUGCUGCUGGCUGGCUGGCUGGCUGGCGCGCGCGGCCGAUCGAUCUACAAGCGUGUACAUUGGUUUGUGACAGAAGGGGAGGAUCUAAGAUCGAUCGCCAUGGCCAGGCGGCAGCCAAGGAAAAUAAAUCCCUUUGGCACGGAGCAAUCGCGAGCCAAGGGGGCGGCGGCGGCGGCGCGGCGCACAGACGAUCGUGCCGCGCGGUAUGCCGUGCAGUGUUGAUACCCGGCUGGGCGGCAUGCCGCGCGGCAGAUAUGCUUACGUAUACAUAUAUAUAGAGGUGUUGUUUUUUUUUUCCUCUUUGUUUGUUCUUGCUGUGCCAGUCCUGGCAGAGACGCCCAUGUGUGUAUCAUAUUGAUUGAUUUCUCGUGAAAGAAAGAUCGAGUUAGCAGCGCAGUGGGGAAAGUUUUUAUGGCAAUCGCAUGAAUGGAUCGAUCUUUUUUUCCUCUGAUUUUACGAAUUGGGCCAGGCGUCGCUGUCCCGGUCUGAAGCAUCUGAUCAGAGAAAAAACUGGCUGGGGUGGGGUGCGCGGUCUCAUCGAUCGAAGCGAUGGAAUGGAUCGAUCGAGCUGAUCUUGGCAGAGAGGAACUGGAGAAUUUUGCUGGCUGGAUCAGCUUCAUGGGAAAUUUUGGGCAGCAACAGUGAAACCAGGUGUGAUGAUCUCACACACAAGUGUUUGGUGGGGCGAUGGGAUCAGGGAUUUUAAUGAUCGAGAAAAUCAUUGUCUGGGGGUUAGCUUGGAAUUUUACUGUCGCGACUCGCGAGCGAUCGAUUUGCUUGUGCGAAUUGGGCGAGCAAGAAAGAGGGGAAAAAGGAAGAUUGAAUUGAUGAUGACACGACGAAUGAACACGUCCCAUUCGAGGGUAAAGGAAAACUUGCUGGAAAACUUUUUUGUUCUCUGCGCCCGCGCAGCAGUGCGCGCUGCUUCUUUGCUUGCUGGGGUCUUGUGAUUGAUUGAUCCUGUGGCAGCAGCAGCAUCGGCAAAUCCCUUUCCUCUCCUCUCCCAUUUCUCUGACGACCUGUUCUUUCUUUCUUUUCCUUUUUCCUCUGGAGGAGAGGAAGAAAUGGGAUGCAUUUCUUCUCGGCCGGGGCAACUUGGCAUACGGCUGUCAGAUCCUCGCAUGGACAAUAAACAACAAGAUGACAAUCGCGCGAAAAGAAAAGGGGGUCGUUUUCGAUCGGCCCUACAUCCAUGAAUUGGAAGGAAGGAGCGAGGAGGAAGAGCCUUUCUAGGGUUCAUGGACCGCGUCCCGCGCGCGCGCACGUCUCUUUUUUUGAAUUUGAAUUUAAAACUCCACCUAGGUCUCCUGUGCUCGAGGGAACGCGCUGUGACGCUGCCAGGUUUGCGGAAACUUUAGUUUUUCUCUCUUUGUUUGCAUUGCGUCAACCAUGUUCUCGCGCGAGUUUUUCAAUGUUUCUCGAUUGAUUGACAGUCGGGAGCUUUAGAUUCUUGGAUGAGUGUGCAUGGCAACAACCAAGUACGUUUCGAUUCGAGGUGUUCUCUUCUUUUUCUCGUCCUCUCUUGUUUGAUUGAUUGAUGCGCUUGAUCUUUCUUCUAGCCUAUAUAUCCUGUUUGUUCUUCUAGUAGGAUGUGUGCCGCAAACUUUACAGACAAGGAAGAGGAACCGGGAAUCUCUUAUUUUGUAAGAGCUUGGUCUUCGCUCGCCAAAGGCAGGGAUAUACUUUGCGGAAUAUCAUAUGAUACUUGGCUGCUAGGCCCAAGUUUGGAGUCAUGUCUUCGUCUCGGAAAAGAGCUCCGAUCGUAUUUUGCGGUGAGCAGAUCAAGUUGUUUUUGCUUUUUCGUGGCUUCGGGCGAUCGGAAGUCACAGUGUCGUCGAGUAGCAGACAAUGAGUCGGCCUCAAGAGGCUGUUAAACAGGCUUUUCGGUGGAGAGAUUCUCCAUCUCGCGACGAGGCAAGUUAAAGAGUCUUGCUUUGUCCGACCUUUCACUUUUUAUGUGUGUGAAGUCCGUGAAUUUGAUCGCAUCCUCUAGUUCUUCGUGACAAACAGCUCGGAUCUUGCCAGAAAGAGUAAAAACGAGAAAGAAAUGGUCGACGCACUGGACGAGUCCCAAAAUGAGGCGUUGGAGAGGCUGCAAAAGCUCUUGGGCGAUCGCCAGAUUCAAGGGGACGUCGAUACCCUGGUGAGAUUUCUCAAGGCAAGAUCGUUUGAUGUGUGGAAGGCAAAGGCCAUGUACGAGGCCAUGCUCCAAUGGCGCGCAGAAGUUCGAGCAGACGCUCUCAAACAGGUAAACUUUUACAAAAGCUUUCCCGAAGUUCUUACUCCUCCGAGUAACUUUGGAAAAAGGAGUUUGAUUUCCAAGAGCGUGAUGCAACGCAAGAGCUCUAUCCGCGUUUCUAUCACAAGGUGGACAAGUUGGGAAGGCCAAUCUACAUCGAAAGGCUGGGAAAGCUGCGCUUGGAAGAGCUCUUUAAAGUGACAAGUAUGGAGAGAAUGCUGCUGGAUCACAUCAAAGAGUGGGAGAUUUUCGUGGAUGUCAGGCUCCCUGCUGCGUCCCGUGACGCCGGCCGAGCGAUCACUCAAUCACUCGCGAUUCUCGACCUCAAAGGAGUGGUAAAGUUCCUCUUUUUUUUUUUUUUUGCUCGUUUGCUGUAAAAGUUUCCAUCUUUUUUCUUGCCUCGCUCCUCCAGGUGGUAAAGCACGUAAGCAAACAGGUCCGCCAGUUCGUGAGAGCCAUCCUCCGGAUCGACCAGGAUUUUUACCCCGAGUUCCUGGGAAAGAUGGUGAUCGUCAACGCGCCGGUUUACUUCAAAGCGCUCUGGAGCAUCGUCAAACCGUGGCUCGACAAGCAAACCCAGAAGAAGAUCGAAGUUCACGGAACCAACUACGUGCCCAGGCUGCUGGAGCUCGUCGACGCGGAGAGCUUACCAUCGUUUCUAGGCGGCUCCUGCGAGUGUGUCAGCUCUAGAGGAUGCGAGAGCUCGGACGCUGGGCCUUGGCUUGGAAAUGUCUGAUAUUUACUUCGUUCUAAAUCACGGAGUUCUUGGUGCUCGUGACUUAUCAUGGUUAUUCGCGCCCUGUUUAAAACCAAACGUGGUUCGUCCACGCAGAACAUAGAAGAAAAGAUAGUACCUUGAAUUUGUCAGCUGUGUUGCUGUUUACGUCCGUCCGAGAGGAGGCUGGAGCUCGUUGAUGUAUGCUUCGGCUACGGCUGCUUGGAACGCUACUCCCCAGGGGAGCAUGUCUUCGUCCAUGCGGAAGAGACCGGAGUGGACGAAAUGAGUAGUCCCUUUUGCCUCGCUGUGAAUCCCCAGGCCAGUAAACAUGCCUGGAAUGCGUUCCAAGUAGAACGAGAAGUCUUCGGCAGCCAUCACCGGCUUGAUGUUGCGUACGCAGUGGCUUCCAAAGAGUGACGUUGCGACCCAGGAUGCGUGGUCGUGCAAUUUAUCGUCGUUGAUCGUCGCUGGAUACAUCGGGCGGUCUCCAUCGAAGACUACGCGAGCGGUGCAUUUGUGAACAGCUGCCUGGCUCUCGAUGAUCUAAAAAACGCAAGUUUCAGAGCUUGUUUGUAUGUAGAAAAGCUUCUCACAAACCUGCUGGAUUCUCUCUUUAAGCUUAGCCAUGCCUUCUUUGGAGAAGGAGCGGAACGAGCCUUUAAGAGUCACAGAAUCUGGAAUGACAUUGAAGGUAUGCCCACCACUUAUGCUAGUCACAGAAACAACCUUCGCAAAUGUAAAGAAAAAAGAAAAAAGAAAAGAAAAGGAAAAAAAAAAACAAACAAACAACACUCGAAUAAGCGUUGAGAUGCUCACCUGAUUACCAAGAGGAUCCAUUUCUCGAGAGACGAGCGGCUGCAAGCUGAUCACCGCAAACGAGGCCGCAACGAUGGGAUCGGCAGUGUGAUCUGGACAACCGGCAUGACCACCUCGGCCCUUGAUCUCGGCCUCGAAGGCGCGAGAUCCGGCUAAGCACGGUCCUCUCCGGAGCGCGAUGAUUCCCGUCGGAGCUUCCGGUGCUACGUGCAAGCCAAAGAUGGCCUCGGCGUCUCCAAGAGCUCCAUCCUGGACCAUAACUUGAGCGCCAGCUUUGCCUUCUUCAGCUGGCUGGAAGAGAAGAAGCACCGUUCCCUGCGCAAGCGAAACUUUCAAGCACAAAGGAAAAGACUCGAUCGAGGAGAGCUUACUUUGAGAAGAUGGCGCCUUUGCGAGAGAAUCCUAGCAGCGCCAAGGAGCAUGGCUAGGUGAGCAUCGUGUCCACAAGCGUGCAUUUUCCCAUCCACUUGGCUCUUGUGCUCCCACUCCACCAUCUCCUACUCAAAGAGCCAAUGCUUAAAAAAAUCUAGUUCUUCCUUUCAGUACCUGGAUCGGAAGACCGUCCAUGUCCGCCCUGAGCGCCACAAUCGGCCGAUCGCCGCUCCCAAUGGUCGCCACCACUCCUGUCUUGGCCACUGGCCACCGGUAGGGAAUCCCCAUUCCAUCCAGCUCCCUGCGAAUGAGGGCGCUCGUCUGGUGCUCCUCAAAUCCCAGCUCCGGGUUGCGGUGAAUGCAGCGCCGGACCGAUCUCACCCACUCCACCGUGCCUGGAUCGUUGGCGGCCUCCAAGAUCUCUGCAGCCCAAGCCUCCAUAGCUCUAGCUAGAUAUUUACUCUAGAACUAAGAACCCUACAUUUUUAGAGUGGAAAUUAGGGUCUAUGGAGGGAAUGGAGUCGCGAUCUGGCCCGCAGAAGCUCAAAGAGGGAUCCGGCGUGAUGCGCAUUGCGGAUUCUAUGUGUUAUCCACAGUACACUGCUAGUCUUAAGUGUAAGUGCUGUGAUCGACGAUUCGAGCUAAGUCAUGACGAUUCGUCCAGGCCUGGAGAGGAAUUCCGAUAAGAAUCGAUGCAAGGACGUGAUCAAGGUCUAUAAAUCGUGCAAGAAGAUAGAGGUAAGACAUAUUCUUUCUAGAUUUCAUCGAUCUCCACUCGAUCAACAUUAUAAACUUUGGGUGCUCUUGGCAGAGAGAACAACGCCUGGAGCGUAAUAGACAAAAGGGAUGGUUCGACUGAUACGUUCCUUCUAGAUUUCCCAUGAAGCUAGAAGUUUCGCAAGGCUUGUGGGCAUCCAACACCUUUGCGCACGAUGUCCGAGUGGCGCUUGUUCUGGACAAGCCUGCGACAAUCUGGACUGGAGCUGCCGAUGGCAAGAUUUUUUUGUGGAGCUUUGAUUCACGCUCAUCCUCAAAGGUCUGGAACUUCUCAUCCAAAUUUUCCUCUCAUGACUUUUCGGCUCUUGGCAGGAUGAGUGUGGGGAGCACUUUGUUCCAGAGGUGCGGAUCUCCAUCUCUUUCUUUUUUCGUUUUUGUUUUUGGUGCUUGAACUAAGGAUAUCUACGCAGGAUGUGCUACCACUGGCGCUACUUUGCGGGCAUACUGCUGCUAUAGUUGGCUUGCAGGCAUGCGACCGGAGCCAGAGCCAGAGUCAAGGUGGAGUUCUUAGCGUAUGUAGCGAGCGGGGAAUGUGCGUAUGGGAUAGCGAUACUGGGAAGUGUUUAAGGAGGCGACGGUUGCCUCCAUCGAUUGCGCAGCCUACAUCAGUUUCUCGUGUUCCUGGUGAGACGAAACACGUCUGCGUUGGUUACAAUUCUAGCAGCUCCGGACAGGCAAAAGGUGGCGUCCUUGUUGUCGACACGAGCACGCUUAGAGUCACGCAGAACAUCUACCAUGGGCUCCUUGGACUGAGGGAAAUCAACGACUUAGUGGUGGUAGCACGGCAGGACGAGUUUAAGGCUACUGUUGCGGAUUUAGAAGGCAACUUUCAAGUAUGGUCCAAGAACAAGUCUGGCCAGGAAGGUGUGGAGGGAGAUCUUCAUGUAGAAGCAGCUGAAGCAGUCUCACUGUCCAAUGAUGGAAAACUUUUGCUCUUGGUUUCUCCAUUGGGAUGGAUGCUAAGAUCGCUUGAAACCUUGUCGAUAGUCUAUCGGGAAGACGGUACGUGUUUGGUCGGUGGAUACUUUCUGAGGGACGUCGAGAAACAUCAAUUUCUAGUUUGGGAUGGACAGGGAUCAGCCACCGUUUACUCCGUGGAGGGAAGCAAUUCUGUCGCUCGCAUUAGUGUCGUGCCAGGUCUCAAAGGAAGUGCAGGCUGCAAGAUCACCUUCUGCUCUAUCGGCGACAUCAUAGUUCGUAUUGAUUAUAAUCAGGAGGCCAGUGUAGCAGUGUGGACUUCCAGUUGGAAAGGUGCUGCUACAGGAAGAGCAAGCUAUGGUAGCUCUGGUCGGCUUUGGAAAGGUUUGGAAACUGCUAACAGCAUUACCAUCACGUCUUCGCUACUUGUUCCCAGUUAUGGGACUCUAGUUCCAUCGAUCUUCGUGUGUGGAUACGCCAACGGGGACUUUGAUCUUAUAAAGCUGGAGCCUGGGAGGAAAGAAGUACACGCGAGUGAGAACGGCCCAUCGAUCCAGUGCCUUGCUGUUCAUCAGUCCGAGUCGAGGCAAGUGUUACUUUCUGGAAGUAUGGACGGCUCGGUGUGCUUAUGGGAUAUAGAAGCAGGGAAUAGGAGCUUGAUAGCAGUUCUUCAUCCACACGUUGCUCCUGUAAGGCAGUUUGUUUUACCUUCACCAGAGUCCUCGCCACCUUGGGAUGAGUGCUUCGUCUCCGUGGCCGAUGAUUCGACCGUGGCAUUGUCGUCACUUACGAGCUUGAGAACCGAGAGGAUAUUUCCGGGGCAUGCUGGUGUGAUACAACAAGUUGUGUGGGACGAGUUCAGAGCUUAUCUUGCAGUCCUGUGCACUGCCGGCGAUGGUCAGCUGGUUUUGUACAUAUGGGACAUCCAUUCCGGUGCUCGUGAGCGUAUACUUCGUGGAGCAGCUGCUCAGUCGAUGCUGAAGCACUUUGCAAGUCGGAAGAGGCGUACCACCGAGCUGCAUGGGGACUUCACUUCGGCUUCUUCGCUGCUUCUACCUCUUGACGAUGUACAUAGUCCGAUGGCUUCGCAAGAAAUCACAAGCAGCCAGGUGCAAGGUAGUAUGGAUCCACACUGCAAGCAACAUGCUAUCAGAGCAGGAUGCCCGUUUCCCGGUAUAGCGGCCAUCCACUUCGACAUGACGUCGCUUUUAAGCACUGUUGACGAGAAGCUCUUGAAGCUGAGCCUUUCAGUUCUUCACUUUUGGGGAAUUGAUGAGGAGCUUGACAAAUCUGUGGCAAACGAGCUGCAAGUAUUCCAACCGAGGCACCAUCGUGUUGCUGCAGGUAUAGCUGGGAACAGAGGGAGCGUUACACUAAUACUUCCAACGAAAGAAGCAGCUUCUAAGGUUGCCAUUCCGUUCCUCAUCGCCAUACUAACUUUUUUUCCGCAGUUUUGGAGCCGCUCGUCGGUUUUGUUCUCAUUGCGAGCUUUGACGAUGGUGUCGCUCGCUCAGCGCUUGCUCACGUUUUCAGCUCCCGGCUCUAUGAUUUGCAGGUAAUAACUCUCCUCUUGUGGUUGAGCUUAUGAUACGAGUGUUUGGCCAGUGCUCUAGCUGCUUUCUACACGGCUGGAGCUGUUGAGAAACUUGGUGAUGCUUGUCUGGAGGUGAGAAGAGCAAAGUUGUCCAUGUGAUCUUCUAAACUGAGUUUCACGUGCAGAUAUUUUCAUGUUUCUGGCAAGAUCCUGCUGAGCAUGUCCGACUGGCUGCCCGUCUCUUAUUCCAUUCUGCAGCAUCCACAGCGGUGCCAGACAUUUUACAGAAUGAUAACGGCUCCUCGUUCGAUGAUCUUCUCGAGUGGCUAGAAUCGUCAGGAGGACAGGAAACAUGGCUUGGCCUCACAGGUGGCUCGGACCAGGAUGGUAGAGCUUGCAGAAUCAUCAUGUGUGGAGCAUUGGCAAUCUGGCACAAGUCCUUGGUGCGGCAUGACUUGUCGAGCUCCACCGCUCCCUUACUGCUCAAGCUAGUGCGAACAAGUGAUAGGCACAGUGCUACAGCAGCGGAGGUUUUGUGUGCUGGGAUGGCGAGCACUUGGCAGCCACUUAUACAGUCAGAGGAAGUGUCCCAGCUCACCUCGGACGUGCUCUUUCUCAUCCAAUGCAUUGGCGGUGACGGGGAUCACGGUGGUCACUUUGCUACUACGGAACACCACCGAGCGCUCUUGUCAGCUCUUGCGCUCGCGGACAUGCACGCUUUCUUGAUUGCUCUGGAAAGAGUAGCAUCGACGAAAUCUUCUUCGAGCGUUUUACUGGGACUCACGUCGCUAGUUCAAGUUAUACGUACGUCUCCGUCGACUGUCAUUGCGUGUCUUGGACGGGUCAGUUUUUCUUUAUCUUUAUCUUUUUUUUUUUGCUAUAGCUCGUGACUAUUCUGUGCUAGCAGAUUGUUUCGCUGGCUGUUCGUCUAUUGGAUCCUGCGGAUUCGCUGCAAAGACGGCACAACUUUCCUAUUAUCAUGGAAGUGAUCAAGGAGAUGUCUCAAGCUUUUCCUAUGGUUGCUCUUUACCAUCCGGUUGCUCAAUCAGCAGCUGGCAAACUUGCAGUUGGUGAUCCAGUGGGUGACAUCCGGUCGCUUAGGAUUCAUGUAUAUGACCUUUACAGGUAAUGUUUUUCUUUUGUAGCAUGUUUUUUUAUGUUUUUUCUUUCUUUUGUCAGUGCGAGUAUUAUGAAGGUUCUUGAUGCCAGUGGACCUCCCGGACAUCCAGCAUUGUCUCCCAGUGCUAAAAGCUCCACUCGGACGCUAGGAAUUACCGCUCUGAGCUUCUCGAAUGAUGGCGAGGUAUUUUAGCUUGAGCUGGAUAAAAAACUCUAAUCGCUCGUUUGCAUGCUCCAGGGUCUUGUAGCUUUCUCACAUCAAGGAUUGAUACUUCGAUGGUGGUCGGUUGGCGCUGCUUGGUGGGACAAACUGAGCCGCUCCACCGUGCCCGUCCAGUGCACAAAGCUAGUUCUCUUACCACCCUCGCCAGGAUUCUCCCCAAAAUCAUCCAGCAGUAGCAUUAUCGGAAAUUUGAGUGGAUCGAAGAAUCUCGAGGAAGUGGUAAUCUUCGCGCCUUGUUGCUUUUGUCAAUCUUAUCUUGUGCUUUGCAGGAGGAAGAAAGCGAAAGCGAGGAGACGAUUGAUUUGUCCUUUCGCUUGCAUUGGAAGUCGGACCGAAUUGUAAUUCUCAGCCGCGGCAACCACCAAGUCGGGGUGUUUCAGCUGUGACCAUCUUUUACAGCCACAAAUAUCUUUUAUUCACGUUAAAGUCUAGACUAUCGAACCAGCAAAUAAGGUACUCUUGCGUUUCUAAAUAAAGGUCUCUCUAAACCUUUCGUGUCGUCGUAGAACAUAUCAACACUCGCCACAAGCUCCAAAAUCAAAAUGGAACUAUCGUGGCCCCAAGGUGGAAAUCUGGGGGGAUUCAUUGGAAGCUCCCGAGGAGAUCCUGGUGGAGUCAUUGGAUCGCAUGGCUGUGUAGGAGAGUGAAGAUGAUCGGCUCAAGUUCUCUGGAACGUGAGCGUUUGAGUACCCCGCCAGCACCGCGACGACGUGAGGCAUAGACGGCCGCGCCUGAGGCAAGUCUUGAGUACACAUGAGCGCCAGUGUCACCAGCUGCAGCGCCUGGCUGUUGGAAACUUCGUUCUCCAGUUUCGGGUCCACAAAGCCGCCAAAUAGUCCUCCUGUGUCAGCGUGAAGCUGCCAUGCCUGGAAAACAAUUCCGCGAGCCUUACAAAUCUAAAUACAAACACUAAUUUUUUCAAGUACCUCGUCCACCAGUGAUCUGUCUCGGUUUCUUUUGCCACUCACGGUUUCCAGAAUGACGAUUCCAUAGCUGUAAACAUCGAUCUUGUCGCUCAGCUGACCAUUGAGUGCGUACUCUGGCGCCAUGUAGCCACUGCAAGAUCAUCGAAAGCAUGUUGUAAAACAUCAAGUACUAUGGAACUUACUAUGUUCCUGCAGCUUUGGUGGUUAGAACCUCCAGCUGAUGGGACGAUUCGAACAGCCUUGCCAAUCCAAAGUCGGCUAUCUUGGCCUCGUAGAACUCAUCCAGGAGAAUGUUGCUCGGUUUGAUGUCCCUGUGUACUAUUCGUAUUUGUGAGUCUUCGUGGAGAUAUGCUAAACCACGAGCAGUUCCCAAGAGAAUGUUAUGGCGAGUUUCCCAGGACAGGGGCUUCUCUACAGGGCCUGAGACACGGCCAGCCAGCUUCAAUACAAUCUGUAGAAGUAUAAAGAGAUCAAACUUACCGAACAAAGCGUUUUCCAAACUGUUGUUCUUGAGGAGCUCAUAGACGAGAAGCCUUUCUGUGCCUUCCGUAGAACAUCCAAGCAGCCUUACCAAGUUCCGAUGCUGCACGUUGCUGAUUGCCUUGACUUCGUUCAGAAACUGAAGCUCACCGUGCUUGGAGGUGACGGUGAGCUUUUUGAUCGCCACUUCGGAUCCAUCUGGAAGAUAUCCCUGUUCAGGAAGAGAUCCAUGAGUUUUCACUGCUGCAAAAACAAUAAAAACUUAACCUUGUAAACAGCACCAAAGCCACCUUCACCGAGCUUGUGGCUUUCGUCGAAGUUUGCAGUGGACGAUUUCAGCAUCCGAUAUGGGAACGUAACUGGCCCGCGAUGCAAGGUACUUUGUAAGUCAUUGGCUAUCGCAGAAAUGAAAAUUCGUAAGUGCUUCCAAACAAGCUGGCUUUAAAUGAAUUUACCAAAUUUACCAUUUUUUCGCCACCUCCAAUUCAUACCAAGAGCUAUACCAGCAACUAGCAGCACUGCGGCGAUUACUCCCACGAUUAUGCCUACAUUUCUUGCUUUGUUGCUACCUUCAGAAAGACAACAAGGUUUAAAAAUAUAACAAACAAUAAGAAUGAAGAACAAUCACCUCCGCCAGAAGUGGAAACCGCGGUACUGCUGCUUGCGUUGACGGGAACUCCACCAAAAAACUUGAAACUCUCGUACUGCAUAUUGCAUUCAGCCAGGUAGCAAGCUCCUCCAUCUCUGCCAUUGCAAGUAUUGGACAAUGAGCUUCUGGCUUUCUCCAAGCAGGUCGCGCAGUCAGAAGUGCUCAGAUCACGAACACAUUGUCCCAGAACGUACGCGCUGUUGUCGGGAGAAGUUCCAGCAACAGCUAUCAUGAAGCCACCAGCACUACCUGGAAUACGGUCUCUCAGAAACGCAAAACCGGUGUCUGUGUUCGAACGGUACUGGCUGGAGUUACUGAUGCCGGACGAGCAGUUCACCAGAGCCGAGUCGAUUCCAGAGUAAUUCGAAAAGAAGUAGUGAUCUUCGUAGCGUAGAAAACACGUCUCUUCCUGCACCCGUCCCCCCUUUGUAGAAUUUCUGACGCAGGAUCCAUUGAGAGAGUUGAUGGCAGUCGAAGCGCAGGCAUUGCAGUCGCUGGAGGAAAUGUCUCCACGGCAUUGUAGGAGGCCAAACACUGUGUCAACUGUAGAGCCAUUCUUGUUGCUGUUUAUGAUCACCGUCUUGUAAUCCGUGGUGUUUGCCAGAGAACCAAAAGCCUGGAUGAUAUUCCUGCGAUACUGCUGGCUAGUAAACGUGUAGAGAUCUGAGCAUCGUGUGGAAUUCUUUGAUGUCAGCAGCUGGCCGCUAGCAAUUCUGUACGUUGGAAUAAAGAGGAGGAUGCACAGCUUCACAAUAACCAAGAGCCUAGCCAUUGCAUUGCUCGAGCUCCGCUUCUCAUUUCAUUGCCGUGUCAAAAGACUUACUUGACCGCAUGCUUCUACUGAUGGGUCCACCGAUGCUGAAGAAGUCCACAGAACAUAGUUGGCUCAUGUCAUUAUGCAAUCUGGAUUGUAGUGGCAAGAAUCAUGAACCAAGAAUUCUAAAGAUCAUACUGUGUCGUUUCCAGAUAGAGUCAAGUCUUCAGGAACUCGCUCGACAAAAUAGCUUUUGCCUUGAAAACGAAGUGGUUCGUUUCCCCACGAGGUCCAGUUUGCGUUCAUUUCCCUCGCGAACAGCUCCAAAGCUCUCACCGGUUUCGGUGCAAAAUCUGCAAGAAGUACUGUUCUUUUUGUUAAGUUUCGAAAGGAGACAGGGGAAGGAUACCGCCAAGCGGGGGCUUCCGCGAAUGCUGGCCUGGUACAGUAAUAGCGACGCGUCUGUGAGGAACAUCGUUGUGGUCCUACAUAAAAUACAGAACUUUAAGCAAACGAAAAAACGCAAUCUUGCCUGCAUGAGAGUACUGGCCACCAGUAAACAUUCGUAUGGCUUAUGAUGGUUUAAAUCCAGUUCGCUAACCAUCGUUCCCGCGUCAGUUAUCUGCAGCUUUCCAAAGUUAGAAACCAAAGUUCCAAAGAAAAUGCCACGACCUUGAGCCAGUACCACACGCCGACUGGAAUUAGUUUCCAUGCAGGAAAAAGCUCCUUCUCUACAAACUGGUGAAGCUUUUCUCGGUUUGUUAUCCAUAAGCCUAUCAGAGCACCGCUGCUGUGUACCAAUUGUUGCAGGGGAAGAGACAAGAGAUACUUAUUUGGUAGAGUUGGAUAACUAAAAAGGAAAAGAACGAAGUUAGUGAAAGCGAGAAUGAAAACGGAAAGUUACAUUGAUCUUCGGUGGACGCUCUUGUUCUCCCAGGGAGGAUCAAUAAUGAUAAGAUUAUAACCUGUUGAUGGUGAGUCUGACACGAGCCUACAAGUUUGUGAAAAAAUACAUCUAAACAGACUUUCUUGCCUGGAAUUAGCCGGUGAAUUUCAGAGAAGUCGGUCUGCAAAAACAGUAUGUAAUUAACAAAACAUUUCAAAUGCAGAACUUACCAUGAGAAACCGACUGUUUUUCGGAAGAAGGAAGUCUGAGCCAGCGCUUGAAGCGACUUCCUCCGCGGAGGAGCUAGCUUCCACUAGAUUGUUAAAGAGCGGGACACAUUUUCCUGGACUCGAAAGUUUGGGAAGUUGUUAGAAGGAAGCAAGCAAAACAUUAGUUCGAACAUGCUCCCACCUUGUGAGGAAAGCGUGAUAUCGUAGAGUGGAGCUUGAAAUGUCUGAGACAAAGCUAUAAAAUCACUGUUGUCCUCCACUUUUGCAUUGCUUGUUUUGAGUUUUACCAUCUCUUUCAGCUUUGCUUGCGCGGGUUCAUUGGACAUAAAUGCCUUGUGAGACUCUAGCAGAAUCUCUCUUGCCUCCUGAUGAAAAACACAGACAAUCGAUCAAAUCCACCAAGAACAAACACCACGGGAAGAAAUUACGAGAAACGAACAGAAAAAGAGUAUCGAAGGAGUGAGAAAAAGAAAACUAGCACCUGGUGGCGCUGCUGAGCUAGAACCUCCUUCGGAUUAAGAACAGCUUUCUUCUUCUUCCUCUUUCUCUUCUCGCCAAUGCACUGCUCACGCUCGUGAUUUCUCACAUUCCGUGCGUAAUACGUGCUGGAUUCGAGGGCAAAAUCGACAUACCCAGAGCUGAGGAGGGCUGGCGGAUCGAUGAAGACGGCAUCCACUGGCGCGCCUGGAAUGCGAAAAACUCCCUCGUCAUCCAUAAGCCCUAAAUGUAGCUUAUUGUUUUAAUUUUAAAAUAAAAUUGACAAUGUAAAUCAAAUCUCUUACUUAAGAAGGUUUUUAGUUUUCUUAAGCAAACCUGUAAAGAGAGUGAGUGAAUAUACUUAAAAUAUGCUUGGAUAUUCUAGAAUUUUCUAUUAUUUAAUGGUUGUUAUUCAUUUAGAUUAAUUUUGUAUUUAUAAUUUAUAAACUUUUCUAAACACUUUCCAGUAUAUUCUAGUUUAUUCUACCAUCUAAUGGUUGAUAUUCAAUAUAAUUAAUCUUGUGUUUAUAAAUUAUAAACAUGUUUAUAACUAUAAAUUUCCAUUGCAUUAAUAAAUAGAAAUAAUACUAUUAUUAAGUAAGCCCAAGUGUUGUUUCAUGUAAUGCAUAGCAAAUUAUUAAUUUUUUUUAAAACAUUAUCAAUAAUUUAUAUAAAAUAUUUGAGAAAUACAUUAAGUUCAAGAUAUCAGAAUAAGUAUGUAAUUGGGGUUUAGACCCUUUCUUAUUUAUAAAAAUGGAUGGACCAAAUUGGGUGUCUAUUAUGGGAUUAAAUACAUAAAGCACUUGGAUCAAAUGUGAAAAUUAAAUAACAUAGAUGCCAUUCAUAGGGCUAAUAUGUUCUUUAAUAGACAAAAGUGCAAGCCUGACAAGAGAGAUUUGAUGCCAGUAAAUUUAUGAAAGUUGUGAGUGAGACUUCUCUAAGUAGUUAAAGGUGUGGUUAAAUAACUAAAGUAUAAUGGAAAAUUUAACUGCUUACAUAAAGGCUAGUAUGACUAAAGAAGGUUAAACCCACAUGAUAAGUGAUAAUAUAAUUACUGAGGAGCCCAAAGCUGAAGUAAACAUGGAUGGACAAAUAGGGUGACUUGAUUAAAUGUUCAAAAGUCGGCUAUAACUCCCUUGGGAAAUUAAAUAGACAUAAAUGGACAAAUAUAGUAAUUUAUUGAAGUGUUCAAAAGCUAGAUUUAACUUCCUUAGGAAAUGGAAUAAUUGAUGCUCCCAAUCUAAGUGUGAGUAACUGUAAUGCAUGUGAUCAUGGAAUGAAAUUUGGAUAUACUGUCAUUAUGGAUCUUUGGAACCUUGAGGGAUAAAUAGGGAUAAAAUAGUCACUAAGGGCUCUUUCAUUAAACAAUUGCCUCUUUUCCAGUUGGUUUAAAGGGAGAGAGAUAAAGUGCGUUACAUGUGGUAUUAAAGUAAAUAAUGGGUUUGAUUCCCAUUGAUUAUUGGCUACUUAAAAAAUAUAAUAUACAUUUGAGUAAGGUAUAUUCCUACUCCUAAAUUUGAAAUUAUACAUAUUUGUAAGCAAUUAAAGAGAACAACUUGAGAGACGAUCCAUGGGGUUCAAAUAUAAAAGGAAAGGGCCCAUGAACAAGAGUGCACCCCUUUUUCCAAUCGGUUAAGAUAUUUGGGGUUAAGCAUCCUUGGGUUUGAAUAAUACUAGGUUUGGUGACCUCCCGAGAAGUUCAAACUCAGGAGUUUACAUUUGGUAUCAGAGAGGGGUCUCAGGUUUGACUUUGUUAGUUGGCUUAGGGGAAUCGCACCACAUGUUGAUUGAUAUUUGGGAAGUCUAGUUUGCUUCAGUUGGGCUCGACCUGAGAGGUAGGGUGUCAAGAGAGCGGGGCUCUCAAAAGAGCUACGGCUCUUAACUUCUGUUCACGAGGGUGUGAACUUGCAGGGAAGCGUGGUAGAUUGUAAGCAACCAAAGAAAAAAACUUGAGAGAUAAUCCAUGAGAUUUAAAUAUAAAGGGAAAUGGCCUAUGAACAAAAGUGCACUCCUUUUUCCAAUCGGUUAAGGGUUUUAGGAUAUUUGGGGUUUAAGUGUCCUUGGGUUUGAAUAAUACUAAGCUGGGUGACCUCCCGGGAAGUCCAAACUCAGGAGCUUACAUUUGGUAUUAGAAAGGGGUCUCGGGUCUGACUUUGUUGGUUGGCUUAGAGGAAUUACACCACAUAUUGAUUGACAUCUAGUAAGUCCAAUUUGCUUUGGCUGGGCUCAACUCGAAGAGUAGGGUGUCAAAAGAGUGGCAAUAUUGGGCAUCCAUAUAUACAUUCUUCCUUUUAUGUGGAGUAUCCACAGACAAAGGUAAAAUAGUUGAUCUACACAAUAGAAAGAUUGGUAGAUUCUAUGUGGAAAUAGAGGUGUUGGAUGACUAGUUGCCUCACAUGGAAUAAUUGGUUUACACAAUGAAAUGAUUGGUAAAUUUAGUGCAGAAAUGGAGUCAAUAAGGAUAUUGACAUAUUUGAAAGCGCAUGUGAUCAUAGGAUGAGAUUUAGAUAAAUUGUCACCAUGGAUCCUUGGAACCUUGGGGAUAAAUGGGGAUAAAAUAGCCACUAAAGGCUCUUUUAUCAAGUAAUUACCCAUUUUCUAAUUGGUUUAAGGGGAGAAAGAUAAAGUAUGCUACAGUAACACUACCUAUUUGAAUACUUUAUAUAGCUUAUCGAAACCUUGCUCUAACCACAUGGUUGAGGCACCUUAGAGGUAGAAGUAAAGGGGAAUACUUACAAGGCUUGAGUUGGGUUAUAGUGUUUUAAAAUAUCAUCUUAAGUAGAAAGGUAGAGGAAUAAUCCUCUUGCUUAGUGAUAAAAAAUAUGGUCACGUGAUGAAGAAGUUUUAAAAGCUAAUAAAAUUUAAUGAUCACGCCUUUAAGGCCUUAUUCAAUUGCAAUGUUAGUAAAUAUUGUUGUGGACGAAAAGAGACUUGGUAGGGAUAAAAGGAGGGAUAUUAGGGGAGGCAUCUUAAAGAUUUUAAGAUGUAAUAAUAGGAUGACCACUUUUAGAUGGAUGGCCUAAUUUUGGAGAGAUGAGACUAUAGUGCAAAUGUCUUAGGCUACCAAUGAAAUAAAGGCAAAUUGACAUAGCCUUAGCUAAACAAAUUAAGAUAUCAAUAAUACUUUUAUGUGUUUAAAGUGGGAUUGAACACAUAAAACAUUUAGACUAAGUGAGAUUACAUCUGUGAGAUAACAAGUACCCCAAGAUGGAUAAGGUUGUGAAUGAGACCUUCCAAGUGGUCAAGGGCAUAGUUAAAUGACUAAAGUACAAUAGAAAAUUUAAUCACUUAUAUAUUUAUAUACUAUAAUAUGAUAAUGAAUAUAUUAUCUAGAUAGGGUAAUAUAUAUAUGUAUUUAGAAACUUUACACUAUCCUCCCUCUAAAUAUAAUUAUGUAAAAGCUUUUGUGUAUAUAUAAGGAAUAGAACCAGAAAAAAUUCUAAAAAGCUAAAUUUAUUAUUACCCAAAGAGAUUUAUAUAACUUCAUCUUAUAUUUUAAAUUAAAUUUUUAGUUAUUUAUUUACUAGAUACUGAAAAAAGGGAUAGAAUUAAAUUCCCAAGUGUGUAGUCAAAGAACAACCCCAAAACAUCCAAAUCCCAACAUCAAAACCAUUAUGUAAAAUAGAGCCAGAAUCUAGUAUUAUUUCAAUAUACUAGUCACUUAGCAUGAGAAUAUAGGUAAUCCACUACAAAAUAAAUGUAAAAUGAAUAAUAAUUUGUUGUCUGAUGCAUGUAGCAAUGUUUAGUUUGCUUAAAAGUAGUGUUAUUCCUAUUUAUUAAUCUAAAUGAUCAAAUGGAAAUUUAUAAUUAUAAACAUUUUUAUAUUUUAUAUACACAAGAUUAAUCUUAUUGAAUGUCAACCAUUAAAUGGUCAAAUAAACUAGAAUAUACUAGUGUGAGUGCAUGGAAUAUGGAAAGGAAAUACAGAAAUGUGCAUAUCAAUUAGCCCAAAAACCCUAGCUUAUAUACAGGAGCGAGUGGUCCGGAUUGAAACUAAUCCAACGGCUACCAAAAUCCCACUACACUAAUAUUAGUAUACGGCAUUGUAGCCGUACACUUGGCCCUCACAUAUCCCCUCCUCUCGGAAUAAUGGAAGGCAGUCAGGGUUCUCUUGUAAAACCCCAAUAGCAGUUGCAAAGGUGCUAACAAGAGCACCAACUUCCACCCAACGAGUCAAGUAGUCAGAAGCAAUAAUAACAUACUCAUUGCCAGCAGUCGAUCGUGGAAAAGGUCCCAUAAGAUCAAAUGCCACCAACUCAAACGGACGGGAAACUGCAAUUGACUCCAACCGUCCUUCCGUAGCACAAGGGGGAGUAUUACAAGCUUGGCACCAAACGCAGUUACGCACAUACUGGAUAACAUCACGUCGCAUCUCCGGCCAAUAGAAAGACCUGCGCAGCUUUUCGGUCACACGACGAUGUCUUAUAUGCCCAUAUAGAACAGGAGAAUCAUGGUAGGCAUGGAGAAACCACGGAAUAAAGAUAGAAGGCACCACCAGCCGUAAAGGAUCAUCAGGAUCCGUCCCCACAAAAUAAAGGAGGCCAUCUUCAAGACGAUAUUGAGAAUGUAAAUGCCGAAAAGGCAAGUCAUCAGCAAGUGAUGCAGGAUUCUCAAAUGCAUCUCGAAGCCUUCGAAUCCACAGCUCAAUAUUUUGAGCCUCACGAACCUCAUCAAGAGAAGGUAGAUUUUGCUCUGCACUUUGUGGACACUGAACGUCAAGUACAGCAACCGCCGAUGGCAUAGAAUCCUCGUCUAGAAAAUCCAUAGAUGCUGGAACAACAGGCUUAUCAGAAACAUAAGAAGAGAGCGGAGAAGGAAGAAGAUCUCAAGAAAGAACAUUAGCAUCAGCCAUAGAACUCUCUGGGCGAUGAACAACAUCAAAAUUAUAUAUCUGAAGCUUCAAAGCCCACCGAGCAGUACGACCAACCAGGUUCUUUCGCUUCAAUAAUGAAGUAACGGCAGCAUGAUCACCUUCAUGUAAUGUCCAAGAACCAUGUAGAUAUGCAUGAAGUUUCUCGAAACCCCAAACUGCCGCUAAACACUCCUUCUCUGUCGUGGAGUAGUUCACUUCUGCUAGUUGUAACGUACGGCUUAUAUAUGCAAUGGGAUGACGCUGACCAAGCACACUCGGGCUUUCUUGCAUCAACACACCUCCAAGACCAAUAUCAGAAGCAUCUACGCGCAAAAUAAAAAGUUGAGUGUAGUCAGGAUAUGCCAAAACCGGAGGAGUCGUUAACAGCUCUUUGAGAUUCACAAACGCCUGCUCACAAUCUGAAGACUAGAUGAAAGAUGACGUUGAUGACUUUAACAACACUUGCAACGGUGCAGUGCGAUCAAAAAAAUGAUCCACAAAACGACCAAAAUACUGCACCUUGCCCAGGAAGCACUGCACAUCAUUCACACACUUCGGAGUAGGGAACUUUAGAACGGCUACAAGUUUGUCAAGAUCAACUUGCAAACCUUCACGAGAAAUACGGUACCCAAGAUAAGUUGUGUCCUUGGAUCCAAACACGCACUUCGACCGCUUCAGCUUUAAACCAACAUCUUGUAGCCGAUCCAACACUUUACACACAUCACGAAUGUGCUCCUCUCACAUCCCCUCCGAGUGAAUCAAGACAUCAUCAAUAAAGUCAACAGUCACCUCUGGCAUAUCACAAAGAACCUCGUCCAUUAUCCGCUAGAAAGUUGCUGGAGCAUUGUUCAAACCAAACGGCAUCACUAAGAACUCGUACAAACCAAAUGGUGUAUGAAAAGCACUCUUAGGAAUAUUUUCUUCUGCCAUCGGUACUUGCCAGUACCCAGAAGCAAGAUCGAGCUUGGUGAACCAACGACUUUGCCCUAGACGAUCCAAGAGAUCAGCCGUGUGAGGAAGAGGGUACACAUCUGGGAUCGUUACUUCAUUUAACGGACGAUAGUUGAUGCAGAAACGAAUACUCCCAUCAGGCUUCAUCACAAUAUGAGGUUCACAUGCCCAAGGACUCCGCGACUUCCGAAUAACACCCUUCUCUAACAUCUCCUUGACGUUUGCACGUAAAAUCUUGAUCUCCUUGGGUGACCGACGACGAACAGGAACCUUGAUUGGAUGAGCAUCCCCAGUUGGAAUUGGAUGACGUGUGGCAAUCUUGGCCCCAAAGGAUAGGUCAAAUUCAAAGAGAUCAGAAUACUCCUUCAUGAGCUGAUCAACAGCUACAACACAAAGAUCUUCGGAGGGAUCGGAAAAGGGAAGAGCAGAACAAGAUAGAAACAUAGGAGGAAAUAGUGGGGAAACAAAAGUAAUAGAAGCAGAGGUAGAAGUAAAGGGACAAAGAGGUACGGAAGUGAGAGGAAUGGAUGAAACAUAAGGAAGUAUGAGACAAGGGGGAGAAACCUCAAAGUCACACUUGGCAUGAUUGCGCUGCAAUCAAUCUAUACCAAGAAUGAGGUCAAAAGCUUGACUCAGCACCACCCGCAACGACUGCAACUCAAGCUCGAGAUCGCCCACACGCACAACCAGGUUCGCCUCAUCUCGUGCACAUGCAUGUGUAUGGCCAUUGCCAUAAAGAAUGAAAACUGGAUCUACCGCAUGACGCAAGUGUAGACAACAACGUGUGGCAACAGGUCGAGCAAUAGAAGAUAAACUCGAACCUGUAUCAACCAACACGGAGAGAAGAAUAGGAGACCUCUUGUUAUAAAAACGAGCUUGGAAAGUAAACACUGGAUGAACCGGUGCCGAGUGAACCCCUUAAUGAUACUCUCGAAAGAAAAAUGGAGGGGUCACUAACUUAUUCGCGCAAGGUCCCUUCAUUACUCGCGUGACUCCUCGUUUUCCGGAUGCACCUCGGUGUCCAAACUUUCCACCGCAGCAACACCAACAGGACGUUGCUGACGCCAAGGUCUCCAUCUAGGAAAUGGAGGUCGCCAAUCCGGAAAGCAUCGACAACACCGAUAAGUAUGACCAACUUCAUCACACGCCCAGCAACGAACAUCACGACCACGACCACGUCCUCGCCCUUGUCCGUGGACUCGAGUAGCAGCAGCAUCAACCUCCAUUGGAACAGGACCAUCACUCAUAGGAAGUGGAGCUGAAGGACGUGUAGCAAGAAGUGGAAGAGGCGACGUCUCAUAACGUUGUGCCAAGCGAAGAGCAUCGUCAAGGGUGGUAGGAGCAAGUGCAUGCACAAGGCCAACAAGAUCUUGACGAAGUGCUGGCCACAACAUUCCUAGCUUGAUCCGCUCCGACAUAUUAGGCUCCGCACGAAGCAAAAGACUUCGGAAACGAACGCCAAAUUGCAUCACCGACUCAGAUGGCCCUUGGCGAAGACAAUGCAAUUGUUGGAAGGCAUCGUCACAAUCGUCAGCAUGUCCGAAGGCGCGUUUGAAGACGUCCGGAAGAACACUCCAAUCCCCACGAGUGGCCGCACUCAAUCCAUUGUACCACUACAAUGCCGUCCCUUGGAGACACGUGGGAAACUCACGCAAACGUCGAGCAUCAUCCCAAGAAUGAUAUGUAGCAAUCACCAUGAAGUGAUCGAACCAAUGGUACACAUCAUCCCCAGGAUUCCCAAGAAAGAACUCUGGCCAAACGCGAGGAUUGGCACCAAGAGCAGGAGGAGUUGGACCACGUGCUGUGAAUGCCACUAUCAAUUGAGUUUGGUUGUUCAAUUGCAAGUGCAUAGCAUCAAGCAAUUGAACCAACUGCUACUCUAGAGUCAAAGGAGGAGAUUGCGAAUCGGCCAUGAAGAUGAACGAAAAAAAAAAGAGCAAAAGAAGAGAAAUGACAAAAAGCUGGAAAGAAAUGGUAGAUCUAGACAAUGCAAAAAGCUAGAUCUAAACCAAAAUCCUGAAAGGAAAGAACAAAAGAAAGGAAAUGGAAAAAGCUAGAUUUAAACGAUGCAAAAGCUAGAUCCAAACUGAAAUUUCAAAUCCAAGCACUCCCCAGGGACAAUCAAAGGUGCCCCUCACCUCCACCAAUGUGAGUGCAUGGAAUAUGGAAAGGAAAUACAGAAAUGUGCAUAUCAAUUAGCCCAAAAACCCUAGCUUAUAUAUAGGAGCGAGUGGUCCGGAUUGAAACCAAUCUGAUGGCUACCAAAAUCCCACUAUGCUAAUAUUAGUAUACGGCAUUGUAGCUGUACACUUGGCCCUCACACUAGGAAGUUUUUAAGAAAUUUUAUAAAUCAUAAAUACAAGAUAAAUUUAAAUGAAUAACAACCAUUAGAUGGUAGAAUAUCCUAAAAUAUCCUAGCAUAUUUUAAGUAUAUCCCUUAUAGGUUUGCUUAAGCAAACCAAAAACUUCACCUAGUUAAUAUUGGAAAUGCAGUACAUUUCAGAACAAAUAUGAUAGAACAAGUCAACAUAGCAUGUCUAAUUUAUAAGGCAAUCAGCCAUCCUAUCCCAAUUAUACAUUUGGGAAUGCCCCCUACAAAGAUAGUGUCGUACUAGCAAUGCUACUUUUUGUGUUAAUAUGAAGCCACUGCCACAAUACACAUAAUUUCUUUAGCAUUAUCCAGCUUCUAUGACUCUACAGGGAUACCCCAAGCUGCUCAUGUUUGACCCAUCCCAAAGUAUACAAUUCACCAGUAGUUGAAAACAUUAGAGCUCUAGCCUGAAUUGAAAGAAUAAAGCUCUCCAUAAACCAUCAACAACAGGAAAGUGCUCAUAUCUAGCACCUAUGGAAUGUUGUACCUGCUGUAAAUUUUAUGUUCAAUCUCCCAUUUAUAAAUGCUGUAAUAUUUAUCGCAGAUUAUUUUUUUAUUUUACUAAAUAAAAAAAAAAAAAACGAUUGAGAGGAUCCAAAUUGAUGAUGCAUGCAGAUUAGUCUCCAAAAAAUUCCUUUUUCUCCACACUUUAAGAUAAUGAGAGUGUGGUACCUGUAUUAAGACUUGGCAUCUUCAUAUGCAAGAAAUGGUACAUAAGCAUUUAAUUGAUUACUAAAUUCUUUUCCUGGCUAGUGCUGCCAGAAAAUGGAAUUGAUUUCUUUUGACUAGUAUGAUGUUUUUGAUCAAAAUUAGGUACUAUAAUAAGACAAAUAUAUAGUGUGAUAGAAUACACUAAGUGCACUUAUAUGAAGCUUAGAAUAGAACCAAUAAAAAUAAGGUUUUCAAAACUAGCAAUGAUUUAUAUAUUUGGGCCAUAUAUAAAUAUUAGGUCGUAAAGAUUAUUUUAAAUAAUUUGUUAUCAAAUGUAUUGUUUCAAUAAGAUUACGAUAGAAAAAAUAAAGUAUUUUAGAAAUAUAUUUUUCUUACAAGAUUUUUUAUUUUGUUUAUCUAUAUCAAUCGGUCAAGUAAAUAGAAUAAAGACAUAUUAAUAUUAAUAUUAAUGUAUAUUUACAGAUGAAUCAAUUUUUUAGGUUAAAUAAAUCCUUCAGUCCAUACUUAUCACUUUUUUAUGUUUUAUUUAAUUUUUGUAGUAUACAAUUUACUACUGCCCCAAUUAAACAUGAAACUAUUGGAAGAAUUGGAAUUUUAAAUCCACAUGAAAUUGAUAAUGUUAUAGAACCUGUGACAAAUGAACUAAAAUAUAAAACACCCUGAAAACAUAUGGUAAUAAUAUUAAAGUACUAACUUCUAAAGGAUUCAUUGAUAUCAUUAUUAAAACAAAGUAUCAAUGUAGUAUUACAUCUACACCUGAAACUGUUAAUGGUGAAAGUUUAAAAUUAGGUUUGAAAAUCUUUUAUAUGGUAGUAUUAGUUCUUUAAAGUAAACUUAUCUGACUUUUUUGAAAGGGAAACUGUUAAUUAUUUUAUACAAUAUAAACUCAGAGGCAGUCCUGGACUUUUAUUGAAAAAAGAAUUAUAUUAUAACUUUUAUUUUAAUAAUGAUUUUUACUGCAAUCUUAAAACUAGUAGUUUGAUUUUUGGUUUUAAGUUAUUUACUGAUAACUUUUUGAUAUCUCCAAAUGGUAAAAAUCUAUUGCUAUUGGAUUCUACUUGUAGUCUUGUAUUAUAUUCAGGAAAUACUUUAAUUUGGAAAACUAAAAGUCCUUACGAAAAGGUUUUCCAAAAUUGUUUUCUAGUCUUACAACUUGACCAUAAUCUGGUUUUAUAUGAUAAUAAAGAAUCCAUGUGACAUAAAGAUAAUUAUUGUGAAUUACCAAUAUUAUUUACUCAGAAUGACUGUAAUUUACUAAUAUAUUUUGCAAAUUGAAACAAUGAUCAAACUAUUUACAUUUUUAGGAUGUAAUGCCAUGGUCACAUGUUUGUGCUGCUCAAAGUAUCACAACUAGUGUUUUCCAGUGAUAGAGUUGACGCCUGCCGCGACUACAUAACUUCAGAGUGUAAAUGUAAGUUGUUAUGGUCUUCAGACAAAGCGUAUAAUAUAUAAAGCCGAACUUGGAACGGUUGGUAGGCACGAUUGAUCAUGUCAAACCUCGAGACUGCCAAGAAUUUGCUAGAAAAUAAAAAUUAAAAGCUGCACUGUGUUCUCCAUAUGGUAUCCACACUUGAAAGCCCUUGCUAUAUAGCUUGGUUUCUUUCUCUAGGGCUUAAAGCAGCAAUGGGUUUCGGUGUGCACGUCCUUGACGCUGUGGAGCACCACACGCACACGGUCAUUCUUCUCCACGGCCGCGGCAGCAACGCUGAGGAGUUUGUGGAAGACCUCCAAGGUAUGACCACGUCCAGCGGGCAAUCGCUGUUUGCCCACUUCCCAGGCGUUCGCUGGGUGUUCCCAAGCGCGCAAACUCUCUGGUCGAGCCAGUUCUUGGAGGCGAUGAGCACCUGGUUUGAUGCGCCGUCGCUGACGGACAUGAGCAAGAACAAGCACCUCCAGGUCCCCGGAUUGAAGAGCUCGGUGGAGUUCGUGCGUGGGGUGAUCCAAGACGAGGUCGCGCGUCUCGGUGGUGACGCCGCCAAGGUGGUGCUGGGCGGUAUCAGCCAGGGACAAGCCACGGCGCUGCACGUCCUGCUGGGUGGAAGCCACAAGCUCGGAGGAUUCGUGGGUGCUAGCGGAUGGCUUCCUUUCGCGGACGAAGUGGAAGGACUCGGUUCUCUCGCAGAGGUCUCUUCCCAUUUUCGUGGAAAGCUUGGGCUGGAAUUGGACGAAGAGAUUCAAGGUGGCGGGGUUGAGGAGACGCCGGUUUUCCUGGGACAUGGCACCGACGAUGAGAUGGUGGACGUGAAGUUUGGGAGGCAAGCGCGUGACGUGCUCAAGGCUGCGAAGGUGAAGAACUUGACGUGGAAGGAGUACGUGGGUGCCGAGCUUGACGGGCACUGGUUCAAGGAGCCGGAAGAAAUGGACGACAUUGUGGCGUUCCUCAAGGACUGCUUUGUUGAUUCCUUGGGUAGUGAUCUCAUACAAGUGAAGCUAUAGUUCCAUUUGAGUGGUGAUCCGAUCAGGUAAAGCUAUAUUUCCAUGAUCCAAACAAGCGACGCUAUAGUUCUCAAAAUAAGUGAAGCUAUAAUUCCAUUUUCCUUGUGACCUCUUCCAGAUUUGAAUUUUAGGGCUUGGCUAUGGCCGUGUGGAGCUGGGGGGCGGGAACGCAGGGCCAGCUUGGAUUGGGGACGAUGAUCGACGCACUGCUGCCACAAGCCAUGGAUCCGCCACUUCGAAUUCUGGACAUGGCUUGUGGAGGCGCCCAUGCCGCAGCGAUUUUGGGUAUGGUGUUCGCGAGAUUUUGUUUGACUCUGGAUUGAUCUCUCUUGUAUGGAGAUGGAGGACGUGUGGCGACGUGGGGGCGAGGAUUGAUUGGUCACGAGGGCGAUUCCGAGAAGGAUGCUGCCGCUGUUGUUGCUGUUCCAAGUGUAGUAGAAUUUUUUGGAGGUCACAGAGUUUGUGAAGUAGCUGCUGGAUGGAACCACACCGCAUUUGUCACUGGUACGAUAGAUCAAUUCUCUUCUUCUUUCUUUGUGACUUUUCUUCUUCUUUUCUUUUCCCUCCAAGAAUCCGGGGAGCUUUUCACCUGUGGAGAUGGAGCUUUUGGACAACUCGGCCAUGGAGACUUUGUAAGUCGAGGAACUCCCUGUAAAGUUCUGGCUCUUUCCAAUGCUUUCAAAGUUGCCUGUGGAAUGCGCCACACACUGGUUCUCUCCGGUAAAAAUUUUCUUCUUGCUUGGUUGCGUGCUUUGCAUCCAAGUCGUGAGUGAAUCUAUGUAUCUGUUUCUUUCUCUUUUAUCUUCUAACAAUGAGGGAUGCAGGAGAAGGUGAUGGUCGAGUUGUCAAAGCUUUUGGACUAGCCAAGCGUGGUCAGCUCGGCAGCCUUUCGUCCAAAGAGCUUAACAAAGUGGCUUCUCCCCAAGCAAUUCCAUCGCUCGACUCCUACGGUGUUUCGAUUGUGGCAGCAAAUGGAGACCACAGUGCAGCUUUGAGUGGUGAGUCCUCAAAGAAAAUUUGUUUCUCCAGGAAGUAUUUUCCAUCUUUUGGCAGGCAGUGGCCAGCUUUAUCUCUGGGGAAAAGCAUUUGAUGAUCAAUCGGGUGCUUACGUACCGUUCCUCGCAAGUGAAGAGCUUAAGUUCCACCGAGUUUCUCUCGGCUGGAACCAUGGCCUUGGUCUUACAGGUACCACACUCUGGUACCAUUUUAACCCGUUUUUGUAAGCAGUGUCCUGCAGAGGACGGGGAAGCUAUUUCUUGGGGGACUAAUCGGCAUGGUCAACUCGGAUCCUCUAGAUGGUUCGUUUUUCCUUUAUUUCUUGGUUCGUUUCAAAACAAGAAUAUAAUCAGUGACAAAUGUUGCAGCAUAAGCGAAAGGUCGAACAUCAAGUUUUAUAGAGUACAAGGGUUGGAAAAACACAGAGUAGUUUCCAUAUCUGCUGGAUCCGAGCACUCUGCCGCUGUUGAUGGUUUGUGGAGAGCUUUGAUCUUUUUGUUGAUGCUAAAGGUCUAAUGUUUUCAGCUGCUGGUGACCUGUAUACGUGGGGAUGGGGCGAACACGGGCAGCUUGGGCUUGGCCAUGUAAACGACGAGAGGCAUCCUUGUAGAGUAGUAGUUGGACAAUGCCAAAGAAGUCGUGUAUGUUGUGGCAGUGGCUUCACGUUUGCAUUUUGCAAUUGACCUGUAGGACAUUGUUAUAACUUCGGUAUACUCGAAUACAAUUCCCACAGAAUAUAUAAACAUUUGCUUAUUUAAAAUUUAAAUUUUUAUUACUUGCUGUAAUUUAGUAAAGUUUAACCAUAAACUUUUAACUUUCCAUUUUAAUCUCAUGGAAUAUACUUGCAGAAGUUAUAUGAAACACCACAAUUUAGUUUGCUUGAAUGCUGCUUACGGGCAAAACAUUGCAAGGCUCCAACUGUUGUUUGCAAGCUCCUCAGAAAGAUUUGAAAUACGUGAUACUCUGUCGUGAAAGUACAGCAUCUAGAGUACCCCAAACUCUCGUUCUAUUACAUGCCAGAGUGUAGCAUAGUGUCGCAGGCAGUAGUGCGAUCCAAGAUACCAGAUUCCCUUCUGGAUUGCAAGAAACAAAGCUUUAGCGAGUUCUAUGUGGCCCAAGCUAGAAUAUGAUGUUAGGAUUAAAUUGUAGCAUAUACGCAAAGUGGGCAUCAUGCGGAUGAAAGCAAGCAUUUCCAGUCUAGAUUUCAGUCCUGGUUUCAAUCACAAGUCCAAGCCAAUGACCCCUGUUGUAAGCCUAGACUCCAGUUGUAACUUUUCACUGCAGCAUCGUGAAAUGCUACAAAUGAUGCGAUUCUGAUAUUCGUAUCGACGUCAGCAAAUGUACAAAACUCAUAGAAACAAAACUCUGGUAACUGCACGCGCAGUUCAGACCAGUAAAAGUGCAGGAUCUUCGUUCCUGAUGACAUCCUCUGGAAGAAAUAUUACCCGUAAACAUAUUGAAAAGGAGACGUAAACAAACUUACCAGGAGAGGCAUCAAAUACGAAACUGAACAACUGCUGGUAAGGAACCGAUCGCUUCUGCACCACAAGUGCCAGUUUCAAAGCCGAAGCAGAGUGUGCUGCAAAAUUCCCGCUCUCUUGAUCAGUAUUCGGCCCAUAGCGAGUCAGAGCCAGGACAUUCGGCGACAACCCCCGAGCCUUCCAGAAAGUGUUUGUAGCUCGGAACUUUCCAGAUGCUCGACUCCGUGAGGUUCCACAGUUUCCCAAGGUACUGGGCUUGGAAGUCUAGAAAGUUUUGCACGAGCAAGCUACGAACCUUGUUCCUGACAAAUUCGUGCAGAACACGAAUCAGCAGCUCGUCCGACAAGAGAUACUUGAGUCGCUGGUUCUCAGAGGCGAGCCUGUUUAGCUUCUCCUCAGUGUCCUUGAUCCUUUGAGAAAGCUGAGCUAUCACGUCUGGCGCUUCCUCCUGGGGCGCUUCCUCAUGAGGUGCUGCCUCCUGGGACUGGACAACUUUGGCUGUGUAAAAACAGCCUUAGUGUUACCGAAGGGGAAGUAAACGAAAGAAGAUAGGACAGUCACACCUUCGAGCACAAGAGAUGUCGCGGAUUUCCAUAAAGAUGGCGAAAGAUUGGGCACGCUCUCUGCAAAAAAUGUGGUCAAGAUCGAAAUGCUGAAAAGAGAAGCUAUUAUCUUCAGAUCUUUCAGGACAGGCCAGAACGAUCUCCUUCAUCUGCUUCCAGUAUUCAAAAGUUUGCUUGUCUAGAACAAUUGUCGCCAUUUCUGAUAAUAAAAUUAAAAAACAGAAAUACGAAGAAAGUAAGGUGUACUCACCAGAAACAAGAAGGUUUUCUUCGUUUUCCGUCACCGGCUGCGGCUGUUUAAUGGUCGGUGCUUCUGAAUAAACUUCUGUGAGGGAAGGAAAGAAACGUAGACCCUUACCUGGAGCUACAAUUGCCAUAAACGUAUGAAAUGAGAUUUAAAUAUACUGUCAUCGUGGAUCCUUUUCCAGUUAGCAUAAAGGGAGAGAGAUAAGAUGUGUUACAAUAGGAAUUCAUCUAACUUUCAAACCCAAGGACGCUUAACCCCAAGUAUCCCAAAACCUUUAACCGAUUAAAAAAAGUGGUGCACUCUUAUUUAUGGGCUUUUUCCCCAUAAAUUGUCUCUUAAAUCGUUUUUUUGUUGCUUACAAUUUAUUAUGCUUCUAUGCAAGUUCAUGGCCUUGUAAAGGGAAGCUAAGAGCCACAACUCAACUUAGAAAUUUACAUUUAGUAUCAGAAAGGUUUUCUGACUCUAUUGGUUAGUUAAGGGAAUUACACUAUAUAUUGAUUAACAUCUUGCAAAUUUAAUUUACUUUAAUUGUGCUCAAUUUGAGGGGUAAAACGUCAAAAGAGCAAAGCUUUCGCUUCCCGGAAGGUCACCCAACCUAAUACUAUUAAGGAUGUAUAACCCUAAGUAUAGUAAAACCUUUAAUUGAUUGAAAUAAAGGGUGUAAUGGGUAUUUUCCUUUUAUAUUUAAAAUUUAUAAAUUGUUUCUUAAGUUAUUUUCUUUGGUUGCUUAUAAUUAAUGAUAAAGACACCACUACCUUUGUAACUCCUUAUGCCAAUUCAUCUAUCAACCCCAUAAUAGAACCUACACUUAGUUUGUGGCCAUUUACCUAUAGGGUCUAACAUGAUUGCAAUUUAGGGCAUUUUGUCAUUCCAUAUACCACAGGCCAAAAUUCCCACCUCAUAAACCAGAAUUCUACAAGCAAGGAAAUUCAUGGUUCCAUUUCUCCAGAGGACAAAGAUGAUACCUAGUGUCUAAAGCACUACUCAUGCCAAAAAUUCUAAUAUAUGCCUCUAAUACCAUGUGAAGAGAAACUAGCCUCUUCACCUAACACUUUGAAGAAAGACAGAAUUCCAACAACAAGCAGCUCUCAAAAAAAACAAAAAACCUUAAAUUGAAGGAAUGUGACUCAAGCCACGUGGCUAACUCUAACGGUAGGACAGGAUGGCAUUGGUGGCUGCUACAUUCUCUACUUUGGUGGCAGGAAGACCCUUUACUCACGACCUCCAGAGGGGUGAGCACACUUAUAGAAACUGUAAAAUGCUUAAACAAACAACAUUGUGGCUACAUUUUGUCUCUUGUGUUUAUAAUCACCGGGCCGUCGGAUGAAGAUCGUGCGAAUCCCUAACCCUAGCCAAUAUAUAGGUUUCACGAUAGGGUGUCAACAAGCAAAAUGGACGAGGAAUUGGCUAAGGUGGAGGCUCAAAUCGGGCUUCUUGAGCCGCAGAUCCAAGCGGCUGGGGAAUCUUUUUUCUCUGCCUUUGAGAGUGGCAAUAAAUCUCUGGUGGAAUAUUGGCAGAAGAAGGAAGAGCAGCUGCGGAAUGAGAAAGAGCAGCUGCGGAAGGAAAAAGAACAGCUGCGGAAGGAAAAAUUACAGCUGCGGAAGAAGGAACUCCUCCUCCUCCAAUGUAAUGGUAAGUCAUUCUUUGUGUAUUUCUAUUUGGGGCGUUUUGCUGUGUGUCGUGGAUUAUGUGUGGCUAUGGUGGCUUUUGGCUAUGCUGCCGGUGGACGCAUGCUCCCUUGUGCAUCCUUGGUCGUCCUUGUAUGGCUAUGGCAUUUGAGACCCUGGUUUUUUCUUCUAGAUCUAAUACUAACUUUGUUUUGUUCUGAAUGUUGCAGUGCACGGAUCUGGUAAGCAAUUGGGAAAGCCCUUUGUUUCCUUGCACAUGCAUCCCCAUUUUCUGUCCAGUUCUUGGUAUUCCAUUUGUCCAGUUCUGGAUGCUACUUUAAUGCUGUCUGUCUAGUAAUAGUUGGGUGUCUUCUCUUUGGGAUGACUGGUAUGUUUUUCGGCUUGACACUAGAGUUUGCUCAGUUAUGCUCACAAGUCCUUUGUGCGUUCCUCCAAAGCCCCCUUGUUUGCUUUUCAUGUCUGUCUUGUGUUUUACUUGGUCAUUCCCCGAUGCCUUUUCUUUCAAAUUUCGUCGCUGCUAAUCUGGUAGCCCUCUCUGUCGAGUACCCCUCAGAUCUGUGUUGCGAAAUCCCUGACCAUAACCACACAUGGAAGAGAUGACUAACCGAGAAGGAGCUCUUUCUCCUCUCCCACAGCAGCCUCUCUUUCACCCGGAGCAGCAGCAACUCUUUAUCCCGGAGCUGCUCCACUGUCCUGCUUUGCUUGCCCUGUCUGGUCACGGUUAAGGAUUUUUGCUUCCUGAAUCUGUUUCUUUCUUUCUGUGUGGAUAUCUGGUACUCUGCGCAUGCUUGGUGGUCAUUCUCACCCCUGUUUGCCCUUUGGCUGUGUUUAAUUCUGUGGCCAUUCCUCCAUAAACUAUAUUGUACCGCUCACAGCACCAGCGCCACCAGCAGCGGGACUUCCUCCAGCCGAUUUUGACGUGCCUGGUAAAAAUGAUGUCUAGGGGACUGAAUGCCAUAAUUUUUUGUUUCAGACAAGAUCGCCUGGGCCAAGAAGCUGGAGGAGAACCUGACCGCAGAUUUUACUGACGAUGGCAUUGACUGGACAAGCCAUGCGACUUUUCGUGAGCUCCAUAUUCCCGCUUUCUCUGGAAUGGAUGGCAGUCAAACAUACAUGUACAUGGGCCGCUCACUCUUCAAGGAGAUAGAAAGUUUCGUAUCGGGCUUGAGACACGGCACUUCGGAUAAGCACAACAAACCUCCAGGUGUUAUUACUGGAACUCCGGGGUCUGGGAAGACCACUGCUCUUGCUACUGUGGCGGGAUAUCUUCGGAAACUUUGGAAGAACACCUCCAAGAAGGUCGUCUUUAUCAAUGGCGAAGAUUUCGUCGACAAUCCCUUGAGGACAAUGUGGCUGGCUCUUUUGCUGAGCUACAUAAACGACCUUCCAGCCGAGCUUUCGUACCAGGGGUGGACCUUGAAAGUAUUAGAAUCUUGGAUCCUGUCGAGAUCAGAGCAGCUUUACUUUCUGGUGGACGAGUCCAACGCGUUUGACACCACGCUGAA
rnacentral:lncRNA from 1 species